rnacentral:lncRNA from 1 species
ACGUAUAUGUGGAUCAGUACUUGGGAAUGUACUGAGUAUAUGGAGGUGAAUGCAUAUAUAUAAAACAAUAUCAAUCUUCUUCAAUCAAAUCAUGUAUGCAAUAUGGGAUGACUCACAUAGCUUGAGCAAGUAUAAAAUGUAAAGCUCAUAAAUCAUGUAGGACUAUGCAUUAACAAAAUCUCGUGAGUCAUCGUACUUUGACUUUGAAAUCGAAAAUCUUCUCUUAUUUCAAUACUAAAAGGAUAAAGGAACUUUGAACAAUACUUUCAAAUCAUUCAUGGGUCUUAUGGAGAGUAAAACUUCUUUAAUGCUCAAGAUCUCAUAACUCUUUUGAACUCAAAUACUUGGAAUUUAGAAUCAUAUAACUUUGAAAUAUACUUAAAGGCAUUUCGUUCACUUUAGAAAAAUAUCUUAUUUCAAGCUUUAGGGAAAUCAUUCAAUCUCAAUGGAAAGAUACUCUAGUUUAGGAAAUAACUCAUCUCAAGCUUUAUGGAAAAAUAUCAUAUCAAGGGAGAAUACUUCUCAUUUAAAGAAAUAACUCAUAUCAAGGAAAUACUUUAGUUAGGGAACAAUUUCGCAACCUUACUAUUAAUAAAAUAGUUCAUAGAAAGGGAAAAUACUUUAGUUUUCAAGGAAGUAACUGAUCUCGAAGUUUAAAGUGUCAAGGGAGGUUCUUGUAACCGACAUAAACCAUGUGAGAUACAUGGAGUCCAACAUUUUGUCCUCCUAAGAAAGAGACCCCACGUUGGGGAGGAGCGUCAUACUAUUGCUAGGGAGUAUAACUUAGGUCUAUUGAUCACUAAACAAACUUGGCCUCGGGCCCAAUAUCAACUCAGCCUUAGGCCCAAUAAUAAUCAUAAACUUAGCCUCAGGCCCAACCUAUGAUGGCACGUAGUUUUGGGGUAAGAAACCAUAGUAACUUACCCGCUCGGUGCUAAAUACUACUCCCUUUAGAUUAUCUGCACUCAUCUCAUAAAAAUCUACUUUUAGAAAUAAUCUCAUGGUUCACCAUGAACCCAAUAAUCAAAUCUGCAAUCUCAUGUAGGAACUGAAUUUCAAAGCUCUAUGACCAUUAGGUCAAAUCAUUUCUCAAUAAUCUCAAAAUACUUAAAUUAUGGGUGCUUAUAGCAAAUAGUUCAUAAAGUUGCAAGUCUCAAGUAGGGCUUUCUAGUCCAUAAUUCAAUUUCAAGUUAAAACUCAUCAAAAGCAUAAUAGAUAGCAUAUAGAUUAAUAACUCAUGUAGAAGUCUGGAAGUUUUAGCAAUUUGUCUUAAAACCUCAAUAUACUCAUAUAUUCCAAUAUCUCAAAUAUAGCACUUAUUAGCUUCUCAAAGACUAAAAUCAUGGGGUAUGGACCCAGCUAUAGUUUCUCAAGAAAACAUGCAGAAAUUAUGCCAUUUGAGUCUCAAUUCAUGGAAAACAUCAAAGUAUUGCAAUCAAUUAUAAUGGGUGAAAAACCUUAGUUCAAAUUUAUGUAAAACCUUAUAGAUUUCAGGAAAAAUAUGAUUUAAAUAAGCUUUGGGCAUAAGGGUGAAAGGGCUACCCUUGUUCAAAACCCCACAUACGUUGAAUUAGAAGCUUGGGAUGAACUCUCACUUUUGGAACUCUAUUCGUACUCUUGAAUGAGGCUUCUUGAAGCCCUUGACUUGGUAACCUUGAAUCUUGACUCAAUUUAGAAAAUCUAUGGUGGAUCCUUGAAAUUCUUGGAAGAGGUUUUGUAUACUUAGGGUUUUUGUUGAGAGAAAACUUGAGAAAACUGUAUAGAAUGCUUGUGAAUGAAUUUGAUUUAGUGUUUUCACGGUUUAAGAGGCUUGGGAGUCUACGCGAUGUGAGGCCAUCGCGUUGUCCCACUGGUUGGGACCUGGAACUUCAGCGCGACGCGUCACAAUCGUGCUAGGCCACUGGAAAUUGACUAUUGAGAAAUUGGGAUCCUUCGCGAUGUGCCACUAUUGUGGAGUUCCACUGAAAUUUGACAAUUGUCAAAUAGACCCUCUCCACGACGCACCAAGCACUAAAAUGACGCUGUUUUACGACGAGGACUUAAAUUAGCCAUAACUUCUUACCCGGGUAUCAGAUUUGGGCGAAUCAUAUAUCGAUGGAAACCUUAUCAAUUUUUUCAUGUGAUAAAAAUUUAAAAUUAGGGAAAUUCUAUAUGGUUAACACGAUACUCACUUAGGAUGUAACUUCUCAAUAUUUUAGGACCGGAAUCAUGCCUCACUUGACAUGCCCUAAGGCUCAAACUAUGAGGAAACUUUUGCGGGGUCUUACAAUAUCUCUCCCUUGGGAACAUUCAUCCUCGAAUGUCUCUUGAUAGGCUAGGAAUAUUAAAAGAACUGAGGAUGCACAGCUGGAAUACUUGCCAAACUGAAUCUAUAUCUCUCUAAACUUGGCAUACUCGAUGAAUACAUGGAUUCAUAAUAGGAUUAACUAUGUAACUGAAUCUCAGAUUAGAGAGGAUUUAAUGAAGGAAGGGUGUUAUCUUCAUUUGAAUCUGGGCUAACUUGCCUUAGUCUUAUAACAAAGAGUUAACUCAUGCUGCAUUCAGUGCUUGUGAUUAUCGACUAACUAAAUCUGGGAUCAAACCUCUCUAAUGAUGAUCCCUAAACCUACUAUCAAUGAUAAUAAAUGAUUAUGUCUGAGACCAAACCUAUUUAGUGGGAGAUCUCUAAAUCUGCCGAUGAAGAAAAUCAACUGAAUCCGAACUGAGAUCAAGCCUAUCUGACGGGUGAUCUCUGGAGCUGAUAACAAGAGUACUCAAUUGAAUUUGAGACUGAGAUCAAGUCCAUCUAGUGGGUGAUCUCGGGAUAACAAGGGUAAUCAAUUGAAUCUGAGAUCAAGCCUAUCUGACGGGUUAUCUCGGGAUCUGAUAACAUUGAUACUGAAGCUGACUAACUAAGUCUACUCGUAUGAAUAGCUGAAUUUGCUUGGAUUCGUUAUCUGACAAAAUAAUACUGAAUCUUGUUAUCUGACUGAAGGACACUGAGCUCUGAAUAGAGUACUCAAAUACUACUGAGGUUGCACUGAAUACUUGUAUACUACUAUGUAUGAGUUGAGUACAGAACUGAGGCUACAGUUCUAACGAUACUGAGAUUACUCAAGUUUUGUAAUUAUCUGAGAGUUCUGAGUUCUAUGACUCACUGAGUUCUAAAAAUCGUGGCUUGACUGAGAUUAUCGUGAAAACGGACACAGGCUCUAGAAAACAACUAAAUUGUCGAGUAUAAAUACCCCCAAGUCUCGAUAACAUAAAAGUAAAACAUAUCCAUUCUUGAAUAAUCAAGACCACGGACACUAAUUCACCAUCACAAUCACUAAAGCAUCACUUCACACAUUUAGGAAUCCUAAACAUGUAAUAACAUAGAGGGACACGCUAUUGACUCAUAUUCCAUUCAACAAGGUCUUGCAUCAAGCACUUAGCACGUAUUUAAGUCUUGGCAUGUAUCAGAGAACACAUAAUUGGGGAACUUCAUGCUACCAUGUCACAGUUCACUCAUCAAACACUUAGCAUGUAUCAAAGGCUUAGCAUGUAUCAAAGAGCACAUAAUUGGGGAAUUGUAAAGCCUCAUAAAAAUUCAUGCAAUACAUCGUCUCUUAAUAGCAUGAACAUGGGAUAAGAAAUCUUGAAAUUUUUUUCUAAGUGUCAAAAGACUUAGUCUCAUUUGCAGCACUGAACCCUCGGGAAUCUCAUUCUUAGUCCUCCCGACCUCCGUUUUUAGAUUUUUUUGUUGCGUCGUGAUGGGGCAAGCCUAUAGAACAUCUCAGGUGAGUUUCGGAAUUUUUGGACAUCAUUUAGGGCGUGUUUGAUUUUCAAAAUAGUAGCACCAUGCGAUAUGCAUACGUCGCAUGGUAGCAGCAUGCGAUAUAGCAUGCGUCGCAUGCUCCAUUGCGGUGGGAAAUAGCAUGCGACGCAUGGUCUGUUGCAUGCCUGAGAAAUUUUCAGCAUUUAAGUUCCGUCUCAUUAAGGGCAUUUUGGAUAUUUUCUAUUCCCCUAUCAGCUUAAACAUGAGAUUUAAUCCCUCAAACACCAAAAUAUCAUCACAUUCAUCAAAUUUUCUCAAGAACAUUCUCUAGGGUUUCAAAAUAGAAUCCCCAAUAACUCAAAAUUUAAUUGUGAGUUUUAGAAGAUAAUUAGAGAUUUGAAAUCCCCAAUCCGUGAGCUUCAAGAAGCACCUAUUAUCUUUGGAAAUAGAGGUACGCGGAGUUUAUCCUUAAAACUACAUGGGCUAGAAAUUUGUUAAAACAUGAUUCAAGUUUUAAUGCAUAUAUUUUAUGGGGGAUUUUGAAAACUAUAUUAUAGAUUAUGUGCUUCGAAGGUGUAAAUGCUAUUAUGACUUUGUUAUUAUGGCCUUUCCCCCUAAAAUGAUUUACAUGUAUACGUUUAUGUAUGAAACUAAGAUUUGAUAUUUGUUUGAGAGCAUGAAUUAUGAACUCCCUCUUUUGUAAUAAAUUAAAGAUUUUGGCUUUAUUGAAAAGAGAAUUGAAAUGCAUGUUUUUGUGAUUCAAAACGUCAUGGCAUUUGAAAUAUUGUUUUAGAGUUAUUGAGAGGGUGUCUUGAUAUGCCUAUGUUUUGAGUCAAAGAGAAGAAUUGCAUGAGAAAGAGACUUUGGGCAUGGCCACCAUUGCUUUGUUGAAUUGUUGACAAAAGAGUUAAUUACAUGUGUAUACAUGAGUUUUCUUGAAUUGUUUUAUUGAUAUGGUGGCCUCGAACAUAUGUCCCGAAACAGAGAUUUUUGUAUGCUAAUAAUGGCUCAGAGAUAUGACUUGCAAUUCAAUAGUAUGACGAUACCAUAAAUAAUUAUGCCAUAACAGAGUAUGUUUUCAGAGUAUGUUUUCAGAGUACGCAUAUUUUAUUGAGUUUUUUCAGAGUAUGUUUUCAGAGUAUGCAUAUUUUAUAGAGUUUUAAAAAGGGGCUUAAAGAGUGUUAGGUGGUUACUCGAAGAAGGCGUCAGUUCAAGCAACUCUUAACCUGAAACCAUAUUUGCCGAUAUGAGUAGAUUAUUAUUGUACGCUGGCGACGGCCGUGUGGCGUAGUAGAUUCAGAGACUCUGACCCUUGCGGUACACUUGGGUUGGGGGCUUGGCUGCCGAGUCAAUGAUAGUUUCCAUAUAUCCCAUGGAAUUUUCAAGAAUUGUAGGGCAUACCACCUAGCGCAGAAAAAUACAAAGAGUGUCACAGAUUUCAGAUGUUUUCACAGAGUCUUCUAAAAAUGCCUAUGAGAUUUCUUACUAUACGAUUGUUUAUGAACUAUUUUAACUGCUCUCAUAUACGUUAACUAUAAAUGAUUAUUUUGGAUUAGCUUUGCAUGCCAGUACUUUUGUGUUGACCCCCUCCCCCUCCAACCUCUCAGUUUCUGAGGUUCAGUCUAGGGAUCCAGAUAAGCAAUAGAUAUUCAGACUUGUAGAUCAGGUUUUGCAGUGGUGAGCCUUCUUUAUUCCAUAAGGCCUGCGGAUUUUCAGAGAAUUAUUAGUAGUUAUGUUUUGGUCUACUGGGGGCCUUGUCCCAGUUUUUCAGACAGUUGUUUAGAUUCAUGGUAGAGAUUUCGCAGACUGAGUCAGACUUUGUUAUGAUUCAGACAUAUUUUGGAUUUCAGUUUUCAGUAUUAUGACCAUGUUUUCGUAUCCAAUUCUAUCUUUCCACAUUACCUUUAUUUAUAUGAAUGUUGUGCAUGAUUACCAAACAGAGAAGGGUGUUCUAGACCUUCAUGGUUUGGGAUGCUCGUCACGGCUAGGGCCCUGGUUCGGGUCAUGAUAGGAAUUUCAUACUACCAUGUCACAAUUCAUUCACUAAGUAUUUUCAGCGAACACUUGGCAUUCAUGAGCUUGCACACAAUUGGGGAUUCCUAGUCAACAUGCCAUAAUGGCUCUAAUUUCUUCACAUACGCAUUUUAUCAAACAUAUGGGGACAUGCUUUGAUUAUUCAACAAUUUCUACAUUUAAUUGACCUGAACACAUCAUCUAAUAAGCAACUUGAAAAGGUUUAUCAUGAACAUCACAUAAAUUUCACAUACUAGAGUCAAAGCUUGAUAACCUUGUAAACAAACAAACAUGAAUCGCAACUCAAUAAUAGCAUGAACAUCAAUUUCAACCCACAUGAAUCAUGGAAACUCAUAAACAUAAGACCUUUGAAGUUUAGGAAAGGGUUAUUGAGUUUCUUGGAUAAAAAAAGGGACCCAAGAAUAAACACCUACAUACGACUAUCUUCCCCAACAUGACACAUUUACUCUCUCCUAUCGGCACAACUGUUCAUUAUCUCUAUCGCGACCUAAGGAAGAGGUCGCUGAAAAUUUAGAACAUGAGGACCUGGAGCAUGAAGGGACAUUGUACAUAACUUAGCACUCAACUGAGGCUUGAGGUAGUUAACAUCAUGGACUUAUCAAAGAGGUAUAACUCGAGGAAAUACAUGAUAUAAAUCUAAACUUCGCGGAGCACUAAAAGUACUGCUCGAGUACUUGAGUCAUAAGCUGCAUGACUCGAAUUCGGAGUCCAUAACAUAGGGAAUGUGAUUCUAACUGCUGAAUGAAUUAGAACUCCUUACUUUAGGGACUAAGAGAGUACAUAAGUCUCUAUCAUAUGCAUGAACAUGAAUUAAGAUCAUGGAAUAGAAACGUAAAACAUGAGCAGGUAUUGGGACAACCAAAAGUACUGAAAUGAGAUUGGGUCAAGCCUCAAUCUUACUCAAAGCUAUUCUACAGCUCACUGGUACAUCUACUAGAGUCUUAAGGUCUAACCCAGUUACCGGUUCCAUCAUAUCCCCCUUAGACUUAAGCCAUCACUCCCAAGCGGUGAAUCACCACAUAAACUCUAGUCUAGCUGUAAUCACUUUGCGCUAGAGUCGGGGAUAUAAUAAUGCACAGAAACAAAAGAACUUGACCCUAAUGACUACACUUUAAAGCGUAAAACAACAAUCAACAACAACAAACCCAGCAUAUCCCUACAUACGUGGGGUCUGGGGAGGGUAGAUUGUACGCAGUCCAUACCACUACCUCUAGAGAAGUAGAGAAGCUAUUUUCGAUAGAUCCCCUGCUCAAGAUAAAAAAGCAGUAUACAAAAGCACCAAAAACAUAGGACAUCAUCAAAUAACAUAGGUAUGACAUCCAUAACAAAUUGCACAUUGUCAAAUCGAGGACACCAAAGCUCGCGUAAUUACUGAUUACGAUUCAUUCACACCCUUAUCCCUCUAUCCAAAUGCUUUUCCUCUAAAUCUUCCUAUCCCGGGUCAUAUCCUCCGUUAGCUGUAACCGCUCCAUGUCAUGUUUAAUCACUUCACUCCUCAAACCGUAACACCAACCCAUAUUACUACCUCCUGAGAUACACAAUAUCCUUCUAUAGCCCCCAAUAGUUGUUGACACCUAAGUUUUGCCCUCCACAUUCCUAAUUAAUUUUUGAAUUUCUCAAUUUUUAAAUAGUUUUAAAAUAUUUACUUUUAAGUUGUUUUAAAAUAAAUUUCAGCCCUACUUUUGAAUUUAGGUGAAAUUAAUAUAUUUAGUGUUUAAUAAUACAUAAUUAUAUAAUUAUCGGUUAAAGAAAUUGCUUUAGAAUUUAUUCGAAGUAAAAAGUUUGAAAAAUUAAAAAUAUUCUAUCUUUCUCAAGAUCGUCUAAAAAUAAGAAAUUGAUGACGUAAUUAGUUUCUUAGUUUUUUUUAUUAUUAUUAUCAUUAUUAUUAUUUCUAUUAUUAUUAUUAUUAUUAUUAUUGCUAUUAUUAUUCUUGAAAAAAAUUUAUAUUUUAUUCAAUAUUUAUUUCAAAAUUUUUUAAAUUGAGAAGCUCGUUAAAUUAAUUAGGAAUUGACUUAACCUCAAUUUAGUUCCAAUUAAUUUAAUUUUAGCUAUAUUAUUAAUCUAAUGUGGCUAGAAUUUAAACUGGACAUUAUUCUCUUCAAAUUCAUCAAUCCACCAGCCCAAUUUUCUUUUUAAAAAAUAACCAACCCAAUUUCCUUCUACAUCCACAUAACAUCAGGCCGAUUCCACUCCAGCUUCCCUUAGCCUACAUCUUUAUAAUUUUCUCUACCCUUUUAAAAUUAAUUUAAAAUUACAAAAUAACACAACUUAUCUUUCAUUAAUUACAAAAAAUCCAACUCCUCAAAUUCAUUACAAAAAUUUUAUUUUUGGUGUUUCUCUCUCUAAAAGCAAAUAUACAUAAGUAAAAUGAUUUCUUUCACCGUUUUUCACCCUUAAAACUCUCCUAAAAUCAAGCAUCGGUUACCGUUUUGAAUACAACUGUACUUGGCUCCAACUUACAGCAUUAAAUUUUAUCUGAAUCUCCAUUAAUUAUUCUAAUUUUUAAGUGUUGAGGUUAGUAUUUUUUUCAUCAUUUACUGAACCGAUUUUUAGGGAUUUUUGAAUGAAGUAAUUGUUGCAUGUUCUUAUCAAGUAUUUUUUGGGGUUUCUUCUUUAAUAAAGUUUUCGAAAUCGUCCAUUUGAAGUACGAUAUUAACAACUUAGUACUUUGUUAAUGGAGCAUUCUCCUUGAUUCAAUUUUGGGUUUUCGAAAGAACAAAUUGUUGCAUGUUCUUAUUAAGUAUUUUUUUUAGGGUUUUAAUUUAAUAAAAUUUAGUUGUUAUAUCAUUAUUGUUCCUUUUUUGUUUCAAAAUUGUCCAUUUGAAGUAGAAAUAAACAUAUUUGUACUUUGUUAAUGGAGGAUUUUCCUUCUUAGCUUAGGAUUAACUCAGUUAGAUACAAAUCCGAAAGUUGGAUUCAUUCCCAAAGUUUUUGACUACGAAGAAUCUAACUUUGUUGAAAAAUAUCUAAAUUUCGUCACAACCCCAAUAAGAUGAAAGAGAUUAGAAAAGUUGUUGCUAAGAAGUCGAAAAAAACAGUUGAAAAAUCAUCAAGAUUAUUCAAAAAAGAUGAUUCUGGACGUCCACGUCUUUCUAAGGUAUAUAUAAUUUUUUCGUUUUUGAAUAUAUUGGGUAUAUAAAUUUGUGGUGAGCUUUUUAUUUGAAAUACAAUGAUCUAUAUAAUUUAAUAUACAUAAAUGAAUAUUGGGUUUAUGUAAAUUCAUAUGUAUGUGUUACACAUACAUUACUCAACACAUAUACAUAAGUUAGUUUUUUCAUUAUGUUGUGUUAUGUUAGUUUGAUGCACUGAACAUGCAAUGUGUAUAUGAAUAACAUAUACAUAAACUUCAAUAUGUUGUUAAAUUAAUACUGCGUUGUGUACUUCAUAUACAUCAUAUUUUCUGUGUAUAUGUGUAUAUUUUUUGAAGAGCUAUUUAUAGUAAUGGAUAUUAGGUAUGUAUAUGUUGACAUAUAAAUCACUUCUGAUAUUUUGUUUGUUGCGUUUUUGAACCAAUAAUUCUCUCAAUUCAAUUUUAUGUAUAUAGUAGUAAUAUAAAUAGUUUAGUAUUUAAUUUUACAACGCAUGCUCAUAUUGACAUAUAUAUGUUUUGUUAUUUUAGUGUUUUAUACAGUUUGUGUUUUGUUAUUUUAGUUUGAUGCACUGAACAUGCCAUGUGUUUAUGAAUAAUAUACACAUAAACUUCGAUAUGUUGGUAGACUACUACUGUGAUGUGAACUGCAUAUACAUAAUGGAUAUCAGCUAUGUGUAUGUUGACAUAUACAUCACUGAUGAUAUAUUAUUUUCUGUGUUUUAGAAUCAAUAUUUCUCACAAGUCAAUUUUAUGUAUAUGGUAGUAAUAUACAUAAGUUUAGUGUUAUUUUCAUUUAAAAACACAUGCUCACAUAUCAUGUGUUGUUUCUAUAUCAAUAGGGUAUGAAAUACAGGAUAAGAAAGGUCCCUGCGCAUUCGUUGCGUUUUGGUAGUUAUUGCAAUCGAAAAUUUGAAGAAGAAAUAAAAAAUUAUCUUGGUGAAGAAGUUGUAAAUCUGUUCCGGCAAACAAGUUUUGGUUCAUUCCUAGACAUUCCGAAUUGUAAUUAUCAGGGUCAAUUAUCCAAAUGCUUACUCAUGCUCGAGAUAGAACAAAACAAUUCAAAUGAAAUAUAUGUUUACGUGCAAGGAACCAUACUCAAGUUUACUAUUAUUGAGUAUGCCAUUAUAUCCGGUCUUAAAUGUUCAGGAAAUAUUGAGGAUCACCUCUUUUCUGUUACAUCAAAGUCCGCAUUAAUGAUGAAGUAUUUUUUAGGAUCUAAGAGUUCUGUCAAAAAGAGUCUCUUUAUAGAGCGAUUCAAGUUGGGUAACUUUGAAAACAAUUCUGAUGCUCUUAAUAUGUCAAUAAUUUACUUCAUUCAGACCUUUUUGUAUUCACAAGUACGUGAUUCUAAAAUUAGCAAAUUGGAUUUUGUGAUGGUUGAGAAUGGUAGUUACGAACAAUUUUCAUUGGGGAAGAGUUCAUUUGAAAAACUUAUUGCAUUGUGGAGACUUGAUUUUUUUUUUGCGAAACAGUUAUACUCGAUGGGGAGAAUGCCUUACGUGCUAAAUGUUUGGAUGUAUAAAUGUUAUUCUGAGGUAGACAGUACGAUAGUCGAGCAGGUGGGAAAUGUAAUUCCCCGAAUUUUCAACUGGCAGGUGGUUGGAAUCAAAGUUAAGUACAAGAAAUUUAUGGCUGGUAUGUUCAACAAGGUAAGUAUGAUGUAUAUUAUUUCGAUCUUAGUUUUAAUUUUCAACGUUCUUACUUUAACAGACUAUUCAUGUUGCUAUUUUUUAUUAUUUAACAGUUUGUAUACAACAAUAUACGACCAAUUGAUGAAAAAGUACAAAGUCUUGAUUUGCAAAUGAUUGAGGGAUUUCAAUUAAAAGAAGUUGAAAGUAAAUUUCCUCCAGAAAUUGCUGCAUAUUGUUCCGAUAAAAGACCUGUUGUCGACGUACAAUCACAAAUGGACCUCGAUAUAUAAGGUUUUGAGGAAUUUAGUACGGUCUCUCCUACAAAAAUUCUCAAGAAGGCAGGUUCGAUUACUGAUGCUUCAACAUCUCAUCCGAUUAAGAAGCGAAAAACAGUCCAUUUUGAUUCCACAACUGCCGAGGAGCAAGUUUGUCAGAAAACACCAUCUUUUAUACUCAAGUCAGUUUGUCAGGACAAUUCUGAUGAAAAGUGGGAUGAUAUAAAGUUAUUUUUACAAUCUUAUGUAAGUUCAUUCAUAUCUAAUAGUCAACUUUCUUCAGCUUUUGAUAUGCUGGUAUCCACAUACUUCGACUUUCAUCAAUAUGUAGUCUUAUGUAAGUUCAUUUUGACAUGCAGGUUGACACAAAAAUUAAUUUUCUUCAUGAUCUAAUAGUCAAACAACAUCAAGAUUCAAUUAAAAAAUGGAUAAACAACAUGCUGAACUCAUCCAAUUAUUGAAACACAAUAGCCAAAAAUAUGAAAAGGUACACCACAAAUGAUUUAAGUUAUACAAUUCAUGAUUUUGUAUUUCUUUUUGCUUCAAUUUUGUGUAUUUAUACAUAUUCUGAAUUAGAAUUGUAUUACGUAUUAUUUAACUAUUAUUUGUACAAUAUUUUAUAACAUACGAAAAAUGCUUACUUUGCGUUUAUAAUAUACAAAUAAUAUGCCAUUUAUAUUAACUAUUUCUCAUGGAAUUGAUAGUUGCAAUGGCAUAGUAGCUGCCAAUUAUGUUAUCUAUAUUAACUAAUAUACUAAUAUAACAUACAUAAAUUGUUAUAUUGUGGUAUAUAAUAUACCAACAACAUGCUAUGUAUAUUAUCUAUUUCUCAUGAAAUUGAUAGUUGUAUUGGCAUGAUAGCUGACAAUAAUGAUAUGUAUUUUAACUAAUAUACAUAACUGCUUUAUGUUAAGUCCACAAUAUAAUCACAACUUAAACUAUGUGUAUUUUAUAGCUAUGUAUAUUACACUACAAUGGCAUAGUAUGUGAUAUAUCUACUUCAACAAACUAUAAAGGUUCAUGUUUUGGAUGAUUCAACUGUCGGAGAAAAAUCAACACAAGCUCAAGUAGACGAGAUGGAUAUCAUGCAGAAUAUUGAAGGCAUACAAAAAGGGUUACUUUUUUAAACAUAUAUUAUUAUUAGAUCAGGUUGAUGUUAUCAAAUUUUUUAUCAAAUUUUUUCUAAAGAAUAUAUUGUACUUAUUUCAACACCAUCAGCAAGAGGGAGAAGAAAAAACAGGAAAUGUACCAUCAAAAGAAGAUGUUGAAGAUAUUGAAAUUUUCAAAAUCUUGAAAGAAAAAGGAAAAAAGGUAUUUACUCACAAGUGAUAAUUAUACAUACUUCGUUACAUAUAUUACUUUUUCGUUACUUCUUUAAUUUAAUGAUUUUUAUCCAGCUUAGAAUUUGGUACAAAUUGAAUUUUGUUUAACGGCAGUUAUAUUUUCAUUACAAUGUAUACGUAUUAUAUUAUAUGUAUAUUAUUAUAAUAUACAUAUGCAACACAACACAAAUUAUGAAAGCAAUCAACAUAUAAAGCAAUAAUUAUUUUUUAUUCGUAUAUUUUCGAUGAGACAGAUAAAUCAACAGAUGUAUACUCUGCUGCUGAUCCAAUGGAUGGUCACUAUUUUGAUUGGAACCGCAGUCCCAUACAACAACUAUCACAGGUUAAAGAUCUCAGAAUUUAACAUUUACAAUUAAAACAUUGAACUGACUUAGUUAUGUAUAUGUUUUACAAUAUGAUUGGUAAGAUGUCGAAGGAUACAGUGAGGAUAAUGCUACUACCAGCCUAGAUGCUCUUGUAGAAUCUGUGGUAAAUCAUAAUUCUGACAACACCAAUGUUGGAACAUCUACUACUAUGCAUGUCCAUGAUGAUCAUAUGGUAAAUAAAUAAAAUCAUUCUUUUUCAGCCAUAGGUCAAAUAUGUAAGAAAUGUACUAUUUUUUUGCUUACAGUUAAAUCUAAAUAAUGACCUACUUUUGUAUAUAUUUUGUGUUAUGUUUUCAAGGAUGUUGAAGGAGUUAGUGCUGAUAUUGGGCCUGCCACAUUGGAAUGUCUAGUCGCAGUUGUGAAAAAUCAGAAACCUAAUAAUGAUAAUGUUGGAACAUCUAAUAUGCAGGUAACUUCAUCAAUUUUUUUUUAUGCCCUGCAUGUCUUAAUUUUCACACAUGGCACUACUUCUAUGUGUGCCUAAAUCAAAUCUAACAAUACAUACUUCAAGUUUAAUCUUAGAUUGAUUAUUCGAGCACACUUCCUGAAUCAGCUCAAUUCAAAUUAGAUGCGAUAUUGAAAGUUAUUGCAGCACCAAUUGAUGACGUUCCUAUAGAAGUAGUUCCACCGGCAGAACCAGUUGUGAACCAAUACGACAUAUCUGAUAGUCAGCUUCCUCUUGAUUUUCCUGAUGCUGUUGGCGUGGCUCAUCAAGCUGCAAAAACCCUGCUAAGAUUGUUAAGUGAAUCAAAACGAGAUCCAAAGUUUUCAAGUCUCCAUACGCAACAGAAUAUGCUUAUGGCUCUAAAGCAAUUGAGAAUUAGAUCGAAGAACAGAAACAAUAAUUCGCUUUUGAUGAUUUUCUAAUAUCUGACACUAUGCCAAGUAGUGUAAUUGAAGAGUUCAAAUAGUGGGUGGAGGAAGGAUUAUUAAAGUUUCAUGCUAAAAAGUAAUUUUUUAUCGAUAUUAAAAUUAGUUAUUUCACUCAAUGAAUGUACUACAUUUUGUUUUAUAAUAACAAAUUUAAUUCUUUGAUAGAAAAUAUGAUGAUGAUCACUACAAAGCAAAAUCAUCUUCACUAGGAGUUCAUGAAAUUGAUUUUGUGGUUGUUCAUGCACGGACAAAAAAUUAAUUAUACUUGAUGUCUCAAAAGAACACGUGUUGGAACAAUGAGGAAUUUAAACUUUUUAAUUUGAUAAUCAUUUGUUUUUACUUGUUCUGUUAUUUUGUAUACAUACAUGCAUCGUAUGUAUGUGUUAAUAUACUUUGGAGAUUUUGUAUGUGUUAAAUAAGUUUUAAAUAAACUAUGUUUCUCUUAAACUAAUACUUCAAUUUCUAAUUUAUGUACAUCAUGCUUUUGCACUGUAUAUGUGUUCAUUUUUUAUAUGUUCUGUUGAUUUUUGUGUUAUGUUUGUUCUAGUAUCCUCUGGUCACACAAAAAAAGUUUGUGUAUAUGUUAACAAUUUCAUCAAUACUAAAAUAGACAUCAUCUAUGUAUAUUAUAACCUAUAUGUUAACUCAAUUAUAACACAACAACAUAUGUAUAUGUCUACCUUAAUAUAUGUAUUAGAUUGCUAAUGGCUACGUAUGUUAAUAAUUGAUAAUCAGUAUGUAUACUUAAUAAUAUACAUCACUGAAUGCAUGUAGUUAUGAACUUUCUUGCAUACUUAGGUUUCAUCAUAUUUUAUGUAUAUGCAUGUAUUAUCUACAUGUAUGUCUACAAACAUUAUUCUUAAAAGUAUGUUAUUUUUUUUUUAUAUAAGACAUAAUUUGUUUCAUUUUUUCUUCUCUUUUGUAGCAUAUUGAUGUCAUUUUUAUCAUUUACGGAAGAAAUCAAAAUUGAGUAAUGAUCAAGAUAACAGGUUCACAACAACCAACUAUUUUUUCAAGAACUACAUUAACAAAACAUACUCCAGAUACAAUGAAGACGAUACAGAUACAGUCCUGACUACACAACAAGAUUAUGUUGAAUUUGUUCUCGUUGCUCUAAUUGAAGAGGCAAUAACACAUAUAAUCAAGGGAUGUUGCAUGCCAUCUGGUUUACCAUGACACCAAGUUUAUGAGGUGUAUGUUCCUAUCAACUGUAAUGAGAAUUUUCACUGGGUGUUAGCUGUUAUUUUCCUGAAGGAUAGACGCAUAUGCGUCUACAAUUUGCUGUCCAGACGAAGAAAUACAGAAUCAAUUACUGAGAUUCAAAAGUUGGCUAAGAUGCUGCCAACUUACCUCUCUGACAACAAAUUUUAUGAUGAAACCUUUUGUAUAGAUUGGCCUAAUCUUGAAACAUAUAGGGAUAAGAUUACUCAAACGACACAAAUUCAGAAUUAACAUCCCUUUGACGUUAAGUAUGUUCAACAUAUUAUGCAACAAGAAUGCGACAGUGUGUAAGUAUACUUAUAUAUUUUUUUCAUUUUCAAUAUUACUGUACAUGUAUUAAUGUAUUUGUAUUUUUCAUUGCUAGUAAGUAUUACGUAAUAACUUGUAUGUAUGACAGAAAUUGUGGAGUCGUUGUUGCUGGUUAUACAGAAUACCUAAGUGAAGAAAUGAACGUGCUUUCUGAUGAUUUUGAAGCAGAAUACCAUAGAAUGCGUUACGCCACACUACUUCAAAAAUAUGGUAUUCAAAAAGCAAAGAAAGAUUAUGUUAGUGAAAAUGAUGACCCUCCAAAACCAAAGUAAAAAAUUAUACAUAUUUCAAAUGAUAAUGCAAUAGUUUGCAUUGAGUAGUCUUACUGAAGAAUAUUGUUAAGAUUUUUAAUGUAUUCUGCUGAAAUUUAUUAGAAAUUUUCAAAGUUUUAAUUAUUUUAGUAGUUUGGUAAGGUAGAAUACAAUGUUUUUUUUUAAUAAAUAUGAUGAAGUUUUUAUUUGACAUAUGUAUUUUUUAGCAAUGACGAAUGGAUUUUUUGAUGAAUGUUGCAUAUGACAACAUUUACAUAUAUUUGUGGCUGUUAUGUGUGUAUAUAUUUUCAUAUACAUUGUAAACAAUAAAAGUUAAUACUGUAUAUUGCAAAAUAUACAUAAAUGUAAUGUGUGUAUAUGUUUUACUAUACACAAAAUCUCCUAAAUUUAAUUUUUGUAUAUAUUAUAAUAUACAUAUUACAUUAUAUAAUUAACUAAUAAAUGCUGAAAAAUGUACAUAAGUAUACAUUUAAUUAAAAAAAAUAUAUAUUAAAGAAGUAAGUUAAUUCAACGCUAUAUGUAAAAUUCAUAGCAUUUGUUUUUUUAAUAUACAUCACAGUUAAUACUAUAUAUUGUAAAAUAUACAUAAAUGUAAUGUGUGUAUAUGUUUUAAUAUACACAAAACCUCCUAAUUUUAAUCUGUGUAUAUAUUAUAAUAUACAUAUUACAUUAUAUAACUAACUAAUAAAUGCUGAAAAAUAUACAUAAGUAUACAUUUAAUUGAAAAAAAAUAUAUUAAAGAAGUAAGUUAAUUCAACGCUAUAUGUAAAACUCAUAACAUUUGUUUUUAAAAUUUUUUGUUUACAACUAUGUGUUUACAUUUACAACUCAAACGUUAUAUAACAGAGCUAUGUAGAUUAAAUGAUCUACAUUAAUUAAUAUAUAAUAUACAUAAAACAUAUAUAUAAGAUAAAGGCUAAAAAUACAAUUUAUAUAUGUUAUAUAAUAUACAUAACUGUACCACCUACUGAUUUCCAACGUUAUUUCAUUUCUCUUCGUAAGUAUAGCAAAAAAAUAAUUUAAUUCAACAUUAUACAGAAAAUACAUAGCAGUUGAUUUUCAAAAUUUAGUGUUUUUAAAAAAAUUAAACUUACACAUCGCAGUUUUUACAUUGAAACUAUGUACGUUUUAUGAUAUACAGGUUACCAUUAUUUGAUAAUAUACACAGCUGUGUUACUCUAGACUAUUACAAAUUGUAGAUGAUAAUGCAAUAGUUUGCAUUGAGUAGUCUUACUGAAGAAUAUUAUUGCGAUUUUUAAUGUAUUCUGCUAAAAUUUGUUAGGAAUUCUCAAAGUUUUAAUUAUUUUAGUUGUUUUGUAAGGUAGAAUACAACAUUUUUUUUAAUGAAUAUGAUGAAGUUUUUGUUUGAAAUAUGUAUUUUUUAGCAAUGACGAAUGCAAUUUUUGAUGAAUGUUGCAUAUGACAACAUUUACAUAUAUUUGUGGCUAUUAUGUGUGUAUAUGUUUUCAUAUACAUUGUAAAAAAUAAAAACUAAUAAUGUAUAUUGUAAAAUAUACAUAAUUGUAAUGUGUAUAUAUGUUUUAAUAUACACAAAAACCUCCUAAUUUUAAUCUGUGUAUGUAUUAUAAUAUACAUAUUACAUUAUAUAACUAACUAAUAAAUGAUGAAAAAUAUACAUAAGUGUAACGCCCCGAAAACGGGUCCUGAAGCGUCACACGGUGCUUAAGGUUACAAGUAGCCCCAAGCUAACCCUUUUGAGUCAUUUUCUACCAUUCAACACUUAUUUCAAGAUCAUUAUGACAACCAACAGCAUAAUAUCAACCAAGUCUCACAGUAAUAUGAAUGAAUACGACAAUAACAAAAAUGUGAAGAGUCUAACAACUCCAACCCACUAGUUUGACAAAUACGGCCUGACAAACCUCUACUAUUCAAUGUACCAAAGAUCCAUUGGGACAGGCCCCAACUGACUCGAACUCAAAAGAUAAAAUAUCAAAUCAAACUAAACUGGGAGUAUGAAAUAGCACGUCCUCGGAUCAUGAGGACUCACCACAGCAAAAGAUGUAGAUCGAUGUGCCCGGGAAUCGCCGUCAAGUUUAGAACUGAGCACCUGAACCUACAUUAUAGGAAAAAUGUAUCCCACAUACGAAUAUGUGGGUCAGUACCAUGGAAUAUGGACCGAGUAUAUGGGUGUGUGUGCAAGUUUUUAAAAUUCAAAUAUCACAAGUAUUCAUAGAAAACAUGCAUGCUAUAACAAGUGACUCACAUAGCUCGAAUGAAAUAAUCAUAAUCAUAAGAGAGUAAGAUAUAUCAGGUAAAACAUGUGAGUCAUCAUAAUAAGUUGUCAAUUCACUUUCCUCUCAAUUUCAAAUCAUCAAAGCAAUCAAAUCUCAUAACAAUUCUCUUUAGAAUAUAUCCUUUAAAUCUUUCGAAAAUAAUGACUUUCUCAAACUUAGUCUUUCAAGCGAAUAUAUGUUCAUCUUAGAUAGAAGAGUAUACACACACACACACAUUGGGAGUCUCUCAUAACUGACAUAAAUCAUGUGAGCUACAUGGAGUCCAACGUUCUACCCACGUUGGGAGAGUCGCCCUAUUCCUUGCCAUCGGAGUAGGACCUUAAAUUAUCAAUCCAAACACUAGUGAUCACUAUAUAGAUUAGCCUCAAUUCUAGCUCCUACAGUGGCACGUAGUUCUAGGAAAGUACCAAACCUGCUAUACCUCCCGCUCGGUGCUAAAGACUACUCCCAGACUUACUCAGAACUUUUCAAAAGAAAAUACACCAUAAAACAAUUCAAAAAUUCACAACGGGAACCAUCAUGCUACCCCUUUCAUAAUAAAUCUAUAAAAGUGGAUUUCUUUUCUCAUCUCGGGUUCAAAAUCAACCCCUUUUUAUGACCGAAAGGUCAAAACUUCUUUAUCAUCUCAAAUCAUUCAAAUUCAUGGUGUUUAUAACACAUGAUUUCUCAAAAAAAAAAAAAAAUCUCAAAUAGAGUUCAAAACCCAUGUCUCAAUAUCACAUUAAACUUAUCAAGAUUCAAGCUUUACAUCAUAAACAUAUAUAAAUUUCUUCAAAAUCUGGAAAUUUCAGCUUUAAGCACAAAAUAUCAUUGUUCUCAUAUAAUUUCACUUCUAAAAUAUCGAAAAUAUCAUGAUCUCAUAAGAAUCAAUGAAGAGUGUUCUUGUUGAAAAACCCUACAUACAUCAAACUUGAAGCUUUAAAUGACUUUUCGAAUGACGUAAUGCUAUUCAUGAACUUUUGGAUGUCCCUCGUAGCCUUCGUAACGGGGAUUCCGAAUAUGUAAAAAUUAUAGAAUUCCCACGGUUGAAUCUCUAGCUAUUUAGAUUUUUAUGUUGAAACCCUAAAGGUUGUUCUUGGUGAAUUUGAGUGAAAGUGGUGUUAUUUUGGGGUUGGAGGGAUUUAAUCCCGUGUUAGAGAAGGUGUGGGAAUGGAAAAAUACCAUUUUUCCCUUAAUGAGACGGAAAAAGUCUGAAAAUUUCCCCAGGCGUGCGAUUGACCAUGCGCCGCAUGCUCCACCCCACCGCAGAGAAGCAUGCGUCGCAUGCUCCAUAGAAUCGCAGAGAAGCAAGCGUCGCAUGCAUAUCGCAUGAUGCUACUGGUUUGAAAACCAAACACACCCUAAACGAUGUUCAAAAAUUUCGAAACUCAUCCAGAACAUACUACGACUUUGCCCCAUCGCAAUGCAAUAAAAUUUUCAAGGAACGAAGGUCUGGAAGGUCACGAAAUAAUUCAACAAAGAUUCAAGGCUAUAAAAAUGACUAAGUGUUGGAACACUUAAUAAAAUUCCUAAGUGUUAAGUUCAACUUGACUUGUUUCGAAGGCUUUAAUGACACGGAAAGUUUUGGUGUCUUACAAUAAGUAUACAUUUAAUUGGAAAAAAAUAUAUUAAAGUAGUAAGUUAAUUCAAUGCUAUAUGUAAAUCUCAUAAUGCUUGAUUUUAAAUUUUUUUGUUUACAACUAUAUGUUUACAUUUACAACUCAGACGUUAUAUAACAGAGUUAUGUAUAUUAAAUGAUCUAUAUUAAUUAAUAUAUAAUAUAAAUAAAAUAUAUAUCUGAGAUAAAGGCUAUAAAUACAAUUUAUGUAUGCUAUAUAAUAUACAUAACUGUACCACCUACUGGUUUCCAACGUUAUUUCAUUUCUCUUCGAAGUAUAGAAAAACAAUAAGUUAAUUCAACAUUAUACAAAAAACACAUAACAGUUGAUUUUCAAAAUUUAGUUUUUAAAAAAAUUAAACAUACACAUCACAAUUUUUACAUUGAAGCUAUGUACGUUUUAUGAUAUACAGGUAACCAUUGUUAAAUAAUAUACACAACUGUGUUACUCUAGAAUAUUUCAAAGCACUUAUGAAAAUACACCAGCGUAUACAUAAAAAUCACAAAUAAGAAAAAUAAAUUAACACUAAAACUAAAAUUGAAAUAAACAAUAAUUUAUUUAAAAGAAAACAAAACACGAAAAUAAAUCAUUUGGUACUCUUCAAGAGUAUAGCCAAAUAAUAAACUAGUUCUCCUUUGGAAAAAAACUACAUGAACGUCUAUUGUGCCCUUCAUGGCCGCAUCAUCCACAACGGUUUGUGCUUGAAGAAAGUGUUUCACUUGAUUUUUCUUCCUCCCCUUCUUCGGUCUACCUGGAAGUCUUUUGUAUAAUGGUGGCAACACUUCUUCUUCAUCUACACUACUGGGAACAUCCUAGUCUUUCUUGUCUGGCAUUGGAACGAUUGAAACCUCAUAUGUCUUGACCAAUGUGUUUGGCUUGUAGUAUUCUGAACAGUAAUCUUCAAAUUCUUUUACAUGUUUAGACUUCAAUACAGCUAUAGCGUGAGCAUAAGGGAUCUGAUCUAUUUGAAACCUCGCACAGUUGCAUGAGCCAUUUUCUAAAUCAACAAUGUAUCUUCUCCCAGAUUCUUAAACAGAAUAUAUAUAUGUUGAAGAAGUCUUCACCUAAACAUUAAACAACAAAAUUCCAACCAAUUAUUUUUUAAUGAAAAUAAAAAUUUAAAUACACUUAUUUUCAGUCAAACAAAUACUACAUAUAAAUGCACAUUUCAAAAAGUUAAAGCUUAUACAUACCGUCAUUUUCAAAGCUUUCACACCGUUGAGAGUAAGACUUUCUUCAAAUCGACGACCCAAAAUGAUACUUGUAUAAGAAGCUAUUUCACUGUUCUUACAAUUCCAAGAACCAAAUAAUAUUCAAACUUCUUCUAAGAAUCCAUAUAUUGGCAAUCCCCGGGCCUCUACCAAACAAUCAUUAAUACACUCAGCAAUAUUCGAGGUCAUCAGCCGACCUCUAUUUACCGGUGAAUGACAUCUACUCCACUUUUCAUAUCCAGCUUCUUGUAAAUAUUUUUCACUCUCGUAUCAGCUUUUUCAAUCUUUGCCAUCAAAUAUUCAAAAUCAUCUUUCCUAUAAGCUUUAGCCAUUGAAUAAAACAAAUCAUUGAUACUUUCUUUGCUCUUACGAAAGUAACUACAAAUAUUUUUUCAAAGAUGCCAUAUACACGCAAGAUGUGGGACAUUUGGAUAACGACACUGACAGCUUUUAUAAUACUUUCGUUCCUAUCAAAUACAACACACAUGUUUUCACGUUCACCGAAUGCAUCUUUGAACUGAUUGAAAUACCAUGUCCAUGAAUUGUCAUUCUCAGUAUCCACAACCCCAUACGCAAGUGGUAAUAUGCAUCCUAAAUUAAGUAAAAACUGUAUUAGUAGAAGAAUAACAAGAUUUUUUUAAAGUCUACUAAACAAAAUUUUAUAUGUGUUAACAUAUACAUAGAUGUAUAUGUUAACAUAUACAUAGUUAACAUAUGUUAUUAGAAUAUACAUAACUACGUACGUGAUAAUAAAUACAAUUUUUACUAUUUUAUUUUAAAUACAAAAAAAAAAAGUUAACAAAUUCUUUUCAAUAACUUAAAAAAAAAAAUUAAAUAUAAAAUACAAUGAAUGUUUAAAAAAAAAUCAGGGAUUUUUAAUUUUUCACAUACCUGCACCAUCAAGAGUACUUGCUGAGACAAAAGUGCCUUGAUAUGGUCCACUUAAAUGUGCACCAUCAUUAACAACAACAACAGGCCUGCAAUACUCAAAACCCCUUAUCAUGGGAUGCAAUACUAUACACAAAUACAUGAACCGAUUAUCCUAUGAUUUUUGCAUUGCAACAUGCGAAUUAGGAUAUACAUUUUUUAACAUAUAAAUGUAUCUCAGCAUCUAUCUAUAACCAUCCGCAGGUCCGCCCCUCAGCAAAACGGUGGCACGCUCCUUCGCACGUCAUGCUUUCAUAUAAUUUAUAUCCACACCAUAUACAACUUUCAUUUCUUCAAUGAUGUUCCUCGGUGUGUGCCUUCUCUUAUAGUUAACUAGUUUUGGAGCUGUGAAUUCGCAUACAAAAGAAGUUGUCGCCAAAAUAUUCUGCAGUACCCUAUCCCUCAAAUUGCAUGUAUGUUUUGGAUUAAAUUUCUGAAUCAUAAAAACAUCUGUUUUUUUUGUAACUAGAUGCUUCCAACUUUCACGUACAUUUCUCACUGUAACGGAGGAGUACAAAGCUGAAAUAUAUAAACACUAUUCAAAUGAUUAUAUUUUGCAUCAUUUCAUAAGUUUUAACAAUUUAAUUGUUACAAAUCCAUCAUAAUACAACAUAGACAUGCAUAAUAUUUCAUCAAAGAAAGCUAUAUACAAUCUAAUAAUUCACGUAAUAAACUUUAAAGAUGAAGUAUGCAGAUUAUGAAUUAAAUGACACAUCUACUGACAUGUUACCAGUUAUGUAUUGUUUACACAUACAUAACUACUUAUGUAUAUGUUUUAAUAUACAUAACAUAUUUUCCUUACCAAAACUAAUAAUAUAAAGAAUUAAAAUCAUAUACAUAGCAACUUAUAUGUAUAUUAAACCAAACACCUCAGCAAUAUUAAUAAAGAAGAAAAUGGUAACCAGUUUUGUUGUAUGUAUUCGAUAGCUUUUCAGAAAAAAAAUUAAAUUGAAAUUCAUUACCUCACAUAGAUUUACAUAACUUCAACAUGCUAACAAACAGAUAUUGCAAAGGUCACACUGAUAAUUUGUAUUUUGAUUUUAGGUUUAGCGCAAAAAAUUACACAUGUUCAUGCAACUAUAUAUAACAUUUUAAUUAAAAACAAAUAAUAUAAAACAUUCAAUGAUUUCAUGUAUCAUACUGCUUAGUAUAAAAAAGAUACGAUUUCACCCUUUUUUGUCUGAUCGUUUUGCUCUAACAUUGAAUCCAUUAGUCAUCUUAUAUUUCGACAUCACUGAAACAAGCGUAUUUUUAUCCUUAUACAUCUGUUUCACCUUUACAUCAAUACUCUUGCUAUCACAUGUCAAGUUAUCUUCAACCUCUGAUACAUACAAAGCAUACUCAUUUUGUGUCUCAGCAACAGAUAAAGCCAAAGCAUCAGAUUCAACACCCUCCAGGCAAACCACAACUUCUAUUUUCUUAUUGAACAAUAUGUCAUCUUCACAUUUUUCUAUUGUUAAAAUACAUAACGGAUACAUCAUGAACGCCGGUUGAGUUUUUUUCAACUCGAUAUACAAUCGUACGUUAUUAUCGUUACAGAUAUGAAAAGGUGAAUUAUUCCCGUCAACAACAUAACGUACAUCAAUAUUUUUUCGAGUUUCGUCAAUGUUUAGUUCAUCAGCGAUUGAUGAAAUCAACAUCAAAUAAUUUACUGAUUCAGCAACAACAAUCCCUUCACAUUUAUAAUCCACAUAUUCUGUUUGAGAUCUCCAUUUACCCGAGUACCUUAAAAGAAUAGUAAUAUUCAUCUUCAAUAAUUGAAAAUAAUUUGCUUUGUUCAGUAAACAACAAAAAAUAGAGAUGAAAUUUGAUUUUUGAUUUAUGCUUUUGCUUCAGAUUUGUGUUUUUAGGUAUUUGUGAUUUUUAAAAUUUGAAAUUCCGUUCAUGAAACAUGAUUUAUGAGAUGCAGUAAUUCACGUAUUAAAUUAGUUGCACCAUUUACGUCAAUGAAUGCUGAAUAUUCGUUACCCCCUGUUUUCUAGGACUCUAAUAGAUUACAAUAUAUAUUACUUGUUAUGUAUAUGUCUUUUAAAGAAUGUAUAUUAAACGGAAGAGAGACUAAACUAAUUUAAAAAAUGGGAUGGAAUGUAAUUACUUCUAAAAUGUUGAGAUUUAUGAAAUUUACACUAAAAUUAAUCCCACCAGCCCACUCCAUUUCAGCCCAACACAUUACUUUAUUCCCUUAAUUAAUUUCCAGCUACCAAGCCCACUCUAACAAUCAUUCUACCAUGACCCCAAGCAACCCGGCCACAGUUUCUUUUCUCCUCCUUUACCCCUUAACCUUACAGCAAUACACAAGUUCAACAUAAACUCUGCAUAACAGCAACAAUUUCAACGCACCAAAAAUCAACAACAUUUAUCACGGACAACAAAAGAAGCAGUUUCAACGUAGUAACAGUACAACAACGGCAAAAAAGACAGCUAAGAAACCUCAUCUCAAUUUUUUUUUAAUUCAAAUCUCAAUUUGUUUUUCCUUUUGACGCACUCCGUUUUCCCCCCAAAAUCGGUCAGGUCCGAAAUUAUUGGGAUAUGUUUUCAUCUCUUUUCAAAAUUUUUCAAAUACCCAACCACUUUCUUCAUAAAAAAGAAGAGAUUUUCCGACUAUAAAUAGGAGCUCAUGCUUUCAUUGAGGGAGAUCUCUUGGGGGGGGAAUUUCUUGGAAAAAAAAGAAGUAAGAUUCAGAAGGCGCGUGCUUCUAAUCCUACGUAACCAAAGUCCAGUCGUUGUUCCGGUCCGCUGCUCCUAAACCGGUAAAGACUUCAUCCUCUUUCCAUUUUUUUUGUUAUUUAUUUCAAAAUUGUAUUCUUGUUGAACAUUAUGUUGUUAUCUUGAUUUUUGAUGGGGCUUCGGAUUUGUAUUAGAAUAUGCGUGUUUGACGUGUUUCAGGAUUGGAAGUAUAAAAGAUUAUUUUUGAAUCGCGAUUCAAGUUAAGCCAUCCAUAUGUACUUUUGUGAAUAUAAAAAAAAAUAUAAUCUCCUUAAGAAUUUGGAAGUUUAAGUUAAGUCUGUGGUAACUAUAUAUACAUAUAUAUAUAUAUAUAUAUUUCAUACCCGGAAUCCCUUUUGAUAUUUUGGUGCUCCACAAAACAUCAUGUACUAAUUGUUAUCUUUUCUUUGGUGCAUGUAACAUGAAUCCGAGUCCACUUGAACUCCACUUAUCCUCGCAUUCGAACUUCGUUGUAUCCAAGCCUCAACCAAAGUCCCAAAAACGGAUCAAGAGACAGAAGCAAGGCUGUAUAUGCGUGUAUACAGAAAAUAUACACCAGAUAUACAAAAACGCAGCAGCAACAGGGCUGAUAUACAUUAAAUAUACACCAUAUAUACAAAAAUGCAGCAGCAACAGGGCUGAUAUACAGUCAGUAUACAACUGAUAUACACUUCCAAAAAUGGACUGAAGUCCAUAAUUCAAGCCCAAAACUGGGCAGCUUCAUUAAUGGGCCAAUUGAGGGCCCAAUUUUAAUUCUUGCAUCAUUUUUGUAGCUUGUAUUGUUUAUUUGUAUUAAUUAACUUGUUAAUCAUUUAAUCUAGGCAAAAUCCAUAAGGCGUUGUCAUUUUAUUUUAUCCUAGUUUUCUUUCACUUAAUUCAUAAUUUCUUCACAAAAUUUUAUAUUUUUAGAAUGGAUUAAAUUGUUUCCUUUGAUUUUCUCCUUAAAACUUAAUGUCAUUUUUUAAAUUAUAAAUGUCAUUUUUAAAUGUUUAAAUAAAUAAUCUUAACAUUCUCUAUAAAAUCAAAUCUUUGCAAAAUUAGCCACUUUAACUAGUCAAGUUAGUUUUUUUUGGUAUACCGUUUUAAACGGACGCUCCUAAGUGCCUUAAAAACCUUCUGAAGACGUUAAUUGAACCCUUAUCCAUUAUCUCCAGUUUUAAAGGUUUAUUUCUGUUUUUUAACCUUUGAAACUCUUCAAGUUUUCUUGAUUUUUUUAUAAAAAUUAAGUGACGACUCUGUAAAUUUUCUUAAAAUUUUCUCAACUUUUUUUUUUGAAAUAGUUUUAAGAAGGUCGAAACCAUUUUCUCGCCAAAAUGAAGUCCGAAAAGGGGUAAAUAGAAAUGACGACUUUGCUGGGGAUUUAUCUAGGUUCUAACCAAAAAGAAAUUUUCUAACUUGUUGUGGCUAAUUAUUACAUGUUUAUUUGUUUAAAUUUCAUAUAAACUAUCAUUUCGUACAUAUUUCUUCCAUUCAGGAAAAUUGACACCAUCACACGUACACGUGAGGUGUGUUUCGCGCACUCGCAAAUUUAUUUCAAAUUCCAAAUUUUAGGAGAGUUGGCAUAUGCGCGGUGUGUCCAGAUAUUUUUCCGUGUGACUGCCUAGCCUUCUCACUCGAGUUGUCCACUCGGGAACCUUGUGGCUAGUAAGCCAAAUCUUAGAAGAACUUAAGAUAGAGCUUCCCUGAGUAUAGGUCAUGCAUGCAUAAGUCUUAGGUGGUUUGACCAAAGGUGUCAUCCCACGAAUCUAGGAAACCCCCUUAUGUCAAAUGGGUCACGACCCAAUGUCGGUUCUCAUAUUAUGUGCAAGAUAAUGAUAAAUUGACCCAAGUCGAAAUUUGACCAAAUUGAGCUUGGAAACCUAACUCCAAACUCGAGUAAUGUCAUUAAUUAAAAAUUGAGUCAAUUUAUUGAAAUCUCUAUUGAUAUUUAACGCUAGGUUUACCUUUGGCUUGAAAGGUCCCACGUAUGCUAGAACGCGUAAUAAUUAUUUAUGUGCUAAAGUGUUUUAUUGUUGUUUACUUAUUUGUGUGUUUAAAGGAUAUACGUUUGACUUGAAACAAGACAAGUCCAUUAUUUCUAUUUUGAAGUCCUAGAGUGUUAAUAGGCAUAUAAGAUCAAGAUUCGAACCUUCCAAAAUACCUUUAGAAGUUCAUUAAUAGAAUUCCUUCCAAUUUACCCAAUUUUGUUCAAAAGACUCAAAAAGAAACAAAAUAAAUAGAAAAAAAAGAAGAAGAAAACGGAAAUAGAAAAAGAAAAAAAAGAUCUGAGAAAGAAAAAAAAGAAAACGAAAAAGAAAAAAAAAAGAGAAAUAGAAGAGAGAAAAUAAAGUGAAAAAAAUGAAAAAGAAAAAGAAAUCAAUAUAAAAAAAUAAAAAAAUAAAAAAUAAGAUUAAAAAAACUAAUAAUAAUAAAAAGAUAGAUAUAUAAGAAAGUGAAAAAUAGUAAUAAUAUUUUAUUUUAAAAUUUUGAAGAUCAUGGAGAUAAUUAUCUUCAAAUAUGAAAAAAAAUGAAAAAAGAAAAAAAAAAAGAGAAAUAAAAGAGACAAAAUAAAGUGGAAAUAAAAAAAUAAAAAUAAAAUAAAAUAAAAAAUAAAAUAAUAAAAAAUAGGAUGGAAAAAAAGGGUAAAAGAUAUGACUUUAUUUGGAGGAGGUGAAAUAGUGGAGGAAAAAUAGAAAAAUAUAAAAUAGUAAGAGUAAAACAUACACUUGUCUAAUUAAUGAAUAAAAUAAUGUUACUCUUACUAUAAAUAGUAAUUUUAUAAAAAUGUUGUUAUUUAUUGUAAUUAUAGUAUUAAAUAUGCUAGUUUAUAUAAUUUUUCUUUAAAAUAUUAUAUUUUAAUGAAUUUAAGGAUUCAGAUGACAGAUGACAAAUAAAUGAAAGUGUCAACUUUAUAAACUCGGACAACUAUAAUAAUUCACGAGACCAUUUUUCCCAUUAUUUAUUCAACUAACAUUUCUACAUUUUAAAUUUAUAAACAUUAUUAGAACUCCUUUGUUGUUUAUUUUAAUUUUCCCUAGUGGACAUAUUCAGAAGGAAGGCCUAGUUUUUUGCUCUGACAUCCACCAAAGUUGGACAGAAGAGGUUGCAAUCUUUUCUCAUUACUUAAAACCUUGAGAUUUAAGUUGCAUAAUAUCAGAAAUGUGAUCUCUCGUUGGAUUCUUCCGUUAUUAGCAAGCCGAGCAGGAUGGAGAAUAAUUCUAUUGAAUGUAUAUGCUCCGACUACUAAAUUAUUCAUUUUGAUUUCUUGCAGAUAGAAGAAUUAGUUAUGAGUAGAAAGAGAUCAAAGCUAUUUCUAGAAUUUGAUUUGCAGGGUUCAGUGAUUCUUUGUUUUACUCUGUAUAUUUACACUUGAUUUAUUUCCUUAGACAACAAUUAUAUAUAUAUAUCCUUUCCGAAAAGAAGGAUUUUUCACCUUUUUACUUGAUUUUGUAUAUCUUACGGCGUUUUUAACAGUGUAGUUUGCCCAAAUAUGUUUACAGAACCAAUUGUCAAUUAUUUAAAUAUAUGGCUCCUCUUUCUUGAUUAGUAGGGACUUUAGAAUUACAAGAAAGGAUGCACAAGGGAAAGAAAAGCCAAGAUGAUAUUUCUAUACCAAAAGAAGUAGUUAUUGAGAUGUUAUGCCGAGUACCUGGCCAUGAUUUGUCUGAAAAAUUGAAGAUGGUAUGUAUGCAGUGGUGUUCGAUUAUCUAUAGUGGGAGAUUUGCCUACUCACACAUCGAACAGAGAAAAAAAUCCUCGUCAUUCUCUCAACUGGAAGCAGUUGUUGUUUCUUUUCACGGAAAUGAUCAACGAUCUGUUAGAGUUUCUUCCUUGGAAUGGCACGGCACUUAUAAUAAAAAUCAUCAUCAUUUCCAAGAUUGGAAAGCUAAAGACUUAUGCACAGCAAACAAUGUAAUAUUGGGGUGGACAAUUCAGCCUCCAAGAAUGAUGAGGGUCAAUUCUGUGAAUGGUUUCGUCUGUUUUUGGAAUGAUUCUGAUCAAGCUCGUUACCAUGUCCUCAAUCCUGUCACUAAAGACUAUGUCAUAACUCCACCGAAUCCAUAUCUAGGUAUUUCCAUUACGCAAUAGUAGUUUGUUUAGAAUUUCUACUUAUAGAACUAAAUAAAUAGAUGUGCUUGUUUGUGAAAUAAAGUGCCUAUUCCGAAUGACUUGAUAUUUUCCUUAUAAACAAUGGCCGACCAAGGAUUUAGGUGUUGUGGGUGCCCGGUAGAUUAGAACACACAUUUUGACAUCCAAAGCUUUAAAGUUCCGCAUGGAAACCAAAACAACUCAGCUAUCUUUUGAUUUUGAGGGUGCUUUUUCCUAUCUUGUACCAAUUUUUAUACAUUUAUUAUAUAAUUAUAUCUAUUUUGCAUCGAGUUUAAUGAGUGCCAGAGCACCACAACUUGAAUCUAGGUCUGCCUCUGUCUAUAAGUACUACAAAUGCUCUCUACAAAGUGGCUAUGAAGAAUCUACUGUGUAGGUUUUGUUAUUACAAUAAAGGACUUGGUUAUAUUUUUCCAAUCUAUAUGCAAACAAUGAUUUUACUCCUCAAAGCCUUUCCUUGAUUCUGCUUUAUUCUACAGGUACUUCCAUUACAGGUGAACAAGGUACUCCUGCUGCUGUGGGCUUUGGAUUUUGUUCACUUUCAUAUGAAUACAAGGUGGUUGUUCUUGAUGAUUCAUAUAGGAAAGACAUUAAACCUUCGGUUUUCACUAUUGGAACUGAUCAUUCAUGGAGGCCUUUGAAAGAAAUUCCUUAUAGUGAUAUUUCUGAGACAGUUGUAUGUGUGAAGGGGAUAAUAUACUGGUACGCUAAGGUUACUUGUACUCCCGAUAGAAAUUCUGCUCGCAAAAGAGAGAAAAAAACUCUCAUUUGUUUUGAUGUAACUAAGGAAGAAUUUGAUGUGAUUGUGGUUCCAAUUGAAAUCCCGAAACACUCUGUAACAAGUGUAGCAGAAAAGGGAGGAAGGCUUUGUUUAGUAACAAUAAGCCGUGGUCCUAUUUGCUCCCUCUUGAUCAACGUAUACGUUGCCUGCAAUAACACUGCUGAUGAUCUGAGUAGCUUAAAUUCAUGGAAGAAAGAGGUCACUGUGGCUGCUCCUAGUAUUGGAUAUUCCUUAGACCUAGAAGAGUAUGUGUACGCCGUAAGUGUUACUGAUGAGAUCGUGGCGAUUCUACUCGAUGAAGAUGGAUCAGACUAUGCAUUUUUCGAUGUUGUAGGCGGAAAACUGUUGGGCUUAUUUUCGACUCGUCAAGCUACAUUGAUCCCGUAUAUGUCAAGUUUGGUAGCUUUUCGCCAUCGUCUACUACUUGCUUCCUCCUCUUGAACUAUUCUCUUUGAUGACAACAGAACCCACAGACACUACUUUAUGCGCAAAGGAAAAAUUCUGCUCCAGUAUAAUGGUCUACAAACCACAAGUUAGGUAAACCGUAUCAGACAAGUCCCGUACGACAAGCUCGCCUGAGAAAAGAUGCAGUCAGUUUCAAACCUAGAGAUCCCCCCACCCCCCACCAUUUGGAAGAUCACUUAGUCAAGCAAUUCGGCCACAUUGCGGGCUCCUCUUGAACUAUUUUAUUGAGUCUUUUUUCUUAAAGUUGGAAACCAACUUAUUUGUAAUGUUUCAAAUUGUUUUUACCAUGUCGAUUUCACUGUAGUUCAUCUGAUUUAUAAAUUUUGAUGGCUCAGAGUUUCAACACAUACAUAAAUAAUGUUCAAAGAAGAAAUUAAUUUGCUUUGUUUGAGCAACACUUUCAAUUAUUUGACGACACGAAACCACAACACGAAACACGAUUAAAAACAUUACAAUGUAAGUUGGGUUCAGACUUAAAAACUACAAACUCAAUCUAGUCUAGCACUAAGUGAUAUAGGUCAAGAGGAGGAAACAAGUUGUGGGCGAUGGCAGAGAGUGACCAAACUUGGCACAUAUGGGAUUGUUGUAGUUACAAAAUCAGGCAUAGGAAGUAAAGCCAACAACUUCCCAUUUGCAACAUCGAAAAACCCCCAGUCGGUCUUACCAAGUUGAAUCACCAAGAGCUCAUCGGUAACCCUUAUGAGGUAUAUAUCCCCGACUCUUUCUAUCAUAUAGGCAAUACUAGGAAGAGUCCCAGUGAACUCUUUCUUCCAUUAACUUAAGCUACUCAGAUCGUCAUCAAUACUGAGGGCAGCAUAUGCCUGGAUCAAGAGGGAGCAAAUAGGGCCACUACAUAUAAUUACCAUAUAAAGUCUUUGUCAAGACCCGAACUGAGGCCCUAGCCGUGGCGGGCAUCCCAAACCAUGAAGGCCCGGAUACCCUUCUAGCUCGAAAUCACAAACACCAUCCAUACACAAAUAAGGAAAUGCGGAAAUUUCAGCAAAAUGGAAUCCUAGUCAUAAAUCUGAUGCAAAUUCGAUAAUAGAAAAGGACAAUCCAAAACUAUCUAAUAACAUCUGGAAACCGUUUGCGAAAUCUCUACUACAUGAUCAAUAACACAAACUGAAAACUGGGACAAGGCCCCCAGUAAACCAAAACCAUAUCUAAUAAUAAUUGUCUGAAAGUAAACUGUAACGCUCCGAUUAUCUGAACCGGAACGCUACACGGUUCUCAUGACCCCGAAGGACCUCAAGCUAACCCAUGACUGAUAUCUAUACAUGUAUGCUGCAUAUAAUACAUGAAAUAACGCGGAACUUACUGAAUUCCGUUGACUGACGGAAUACUACUGAUAUCUAAUAACUGACUGAGAUCAUGAGGUUUCCUGAGUCACAUGACUGACUGAAUUCUACUGAAUCAUGGCUUGAUUUUGGAUAUCGUGAAAUAUAACAUGGCUCUAGGCACACAACUUUAGUUUUCGGGUAAGAAUACCCCUAAGACUUGAUGGAAGGAAAUUCACACAACAUGACUGACUUGAUCAUAAGAUUGGAGCCCACAAUUCACAUUAUCAUAAAUAGGGGAUAUUGUACAUCAUGUAGUUCCUCAACAUAUUAGAUAUGGUAAGGAGUGCAUAGCUAUAUUUCAUGUACAUAUUGUAUAUCUCCAUUAUCAUAUGUGUUUCAUACCACAACAAUAGCAACACAUGAAAAGCAUGGAAUUCAUAUUAAAUUAUAUAGCUAACAUGGACUUGUCAUUUAGGUAUCAUGGAAUUAGGUAAAUAUGAAUUUCUAGCAUCCUAGGCAUUUUAUCAAACACCUUGCAUGCAUAUCUUAAGGCAUAGGUGGAUUUCAUACUUGCACCAUAUUAAGCCACCUAAAGUUCAUGGUUUUCAACUAACAAACAUAUAUAUUCUAUGAAAACACCUUUAGAUAUCAUCUCAAAACUUAAACAACAAUCAUCAACAUGUACAUGCUCAUAUCACCACAAAAAGUUUACAAAAUAAUACUUAAAACAUGAUUCUUGAGCUCUAUGAACAAAUUGGAUCCAUAGAUGAAUACUACGCAUACCUUAGAUUAAUAAUCCGUGAAGAUAGUAGUGAAAUAAGCUUGGAAUUUGAAACCCCCAAUUGAACCCUAGACUUGUUCUUGGUUGUUCUUGAGUGAAUUUUGAUAAAAGUAAUGUAAAGAGCUGAUUUGGGGCCUCAAUCCUGUGUUUGGGACUUAUAUAUGGAUGAAAAUUGACCAAAAUGCCCUCAAGGACACGGAGCUGGAAUGCUAAAUUUUUUGGCAUCGUGCGAUGGAGCAUGCGUCGCAUGUUAUUUUCCACCACAGAAUAGCAUACGUCGCAUGCUCAAUAGAAUGCUAGGACCAUGCGAUAUAGCAUGUGUCGCAUGCUAAUCGCAUGAUGCUACUGUUUCGAAAUCCGAAAAUACUCUAAAUGGAUUCCGAAAAUUCUAAAACUCACCCGGGAUGUACUACGACAGUAACGCCCCGUAAAAAGUCGUGCUUGUGCUAGCCCCCAAUAGCAUACUCUUAGUCUUGAAAACUUGAAAAUAUUCUAAGUGUCAAAGAGACUUAGUCUCAUUUUUAGCUCUUGAUUUUCGGGGAUUUUAUUUUCAACCUUUCUGACCUCUGUUUGUAGAUUUUAUUAUUGCGUUGCGAUGGGGUAAACCUAUAAAACAUCUCGGGUGAGUUUAGUAAUUUUUGGACAUCGUUUAGGGCGCGUUUGAUUUUCAAAACUGUAGCACCAUGCGAUAUGCAUGCGUCGCAUGCUCCAUCGCAUGGUGGCAGCAUGCGAUAUAGCAUGCGUCGCAUGCUCCAGUGCGGUGGGAAAUAGCAUGCGACGCAUGGUCUGUUGCACACCUGGAAAAUUUUCAGCAUUUAAGCUCCGUCUCAUUAAGGGCAUAUUGGGUAUUUUCCCACACCCUUAUCAGCUCAAACACGAAAUUUCAACCCCAUUUGAGCAUAUUAUCCAUACAUUCAUCAUAUUACUCCAAGAACUCUCCCAAGGGUUUCAAAAUAAAAACUCUAAUAACUCAAAAUUCAACCGUGGGUUUUUCAAAAUUGAUUAGAGAUUCGGAACCCCCAAUCCGCAAGCUUCUAGAAUCAUCCAUUAUUCUUCGUAAUCGAGGUACGCGGGGUUUUCCUAAAAUCUCAUGGGCAUAGAAUUCAUGUUUUAAGAAUGGGGUUUUGAAGUUUAUGAAUAUAAUCAUGUUUUUGAAGUUUUGACGGUAUUGUUUUGGUCUUUAAACCUUUCCCCCAAAUUGAUUUGAAAUUAUGUAUAUAUGGAAGUAUGUGUUCAAGAAUGAUUAUUCAAUUGAGAGCAUGAAUUAUAAUGAAUUCCUCUCUUGUUAUGAGUCUUUCCAUCUUCGUAUUGCAUGAAUUGUUUCGAAUGCAUUUUGAAAAGCAUGAUAUGAAAUACUUUAGCUUGUGCUAUGUUUUGAAUAAGAAAGAGAGGGUUGUGAAUGUUGAAUAUACAUAUAAUGGAAGAGUGCAUGGUUUUGCUAAAAGCACACGACCACCAUAUGUUUGAUGAAAGUUUUUGCAUGGUUUUGACUUGAGUUUCGGAACAUGAAAUCUUUUAUGCAAAUUACAUGUUUGGGUGGUCUGAAACUAUAUUUUUAUGAAAGAUCAUGCUUAUGACUUUAUGGCUCAGAGUUAGGACUUGCAAGUCUUGGUGUGACAACACCAACUCAGAUAAUGCCAUGAUAAAUUCAGAACAAAAUGGAAUGCAUGUUUGAAAUCAGACUUAUUCAGAUUUUCAUGUUUUAGAACUUCAGAAUGAUACAUGUUUAGAAAAGGCUCAAAUAGGGCAUAAAGAGAUGUUAGGUGGUUUCCCGAAGAAGGCAUGAGUCCAGACAACUCAUUGCCCAAAAUCGUGAUUUGUCGAUCCGGGUAUAUUAUAUUACGCUGGCCUAAUGCAGUGUGGCGUAUCAGACUCAGAUACUCCAACCCUUACGACACACUUGGGUUGGGGGUUUCCCAGUCAAGUCAAUGGCAGAUUCCAUACGGCCCUUGAAAUAUCAGACUUUUAGGGGAGCGCCACCUAACUUAGAAGUAAUACAAAGAUCAGAAACUGUUUUGACAAGAAUGUCUUAGAAUGUUCAAAAUGAUGCCCAUGUGUUAUUGGAAACUAUUUUAUGCAUGAUGUUUUGUUAAAUUGCUCUCAUCUACUUUAUAUGUAUACAAAUACACUAUUUUGGAUUGCUUCGCGUGCCAGUACUUUUGUGCUGAUCCCUCCCCCUCUCCUUCCAGGUUCUGAGGCUCAGUCUAGGGGUCUAGAUUGUCGAGCCUUUGUUUCGAACCGAUCGAAAGAGCACACGGCAUGUGGGGGCGUUUAAUGACUCUUGGGAUUUGAAGAAGUUAUAUUUUAGAGUCGCCACCUAACUUUUUAGGAAAAUUAGGAAAAAAUCAUUUUUUAUGUAGAAAACUCUGUUUUAGUCUGCAAAAUCAGUGAAAUUCUGAGUAAGGGUUUUGGUUACUCGAGGGGAAGGUGUUAGGCACCCCUCAGAUCCUAUCCGAAGAUAGUCCUUAGGCACUCCUCAGAGCCUAUCCGAAGAUAGUCCUUACACUUAGUUUAGAAAAAUGUUAGAAAAAAACUUUUAUUUCGUUAUUUGCUUAAAACAUUGAUAAGAAAAAUUGUCAUUAUUUUUUAUUUAUUACUUAGAAGAAAAUUUGAGGUAUAAUAAACAUGAUGCUAUCAUGUACAAGGAAAUAAUGUAAUUAUUAUAUGUUAUAAAUAUUUUAUGAUAUGAAGAAAUGUGAAUAUGCAUAUAUUUUGAAAUAUGAAGAGAUGUAAAAUUUUACUUGAUUUGUGAAAUUCAAAUGUAUUUAGAUUGGAAAUGAGUGAGAAAUAAAUGAGUGAUGCGUAUGAAUAACAAAGUUGAGAUGAUGAUGAUGAUGAUGAUAAUAAUAAGAAUAAGAAUAAGAAUAAGAAUAAGAAUAAGAAUAAGAAUAAGAAUAACAAUAAGAAUAAGAAUAAGAAUAACAAUAACAAUAACAAUAACAAUAACAAUAACAAUAACAAUAAUAAUAAUAAUAAUAAUAAUAAUAAUAAUAAGAAUAAGAAUAAACUGCACCUACCCUUCUUAAAAUCUGAUAUGGUCCUAUAUAGCGAGGACUCAACUUACCUUUUUUUUACCUAAUAACAUGACCCCCUUCAUAGGAGAAACUUUUAGAAAUACCCAAUCACCAACCUCAAAUUCCAACUCCCUUCUUCUAACAUCAGCGUAGGAUUUUUGUCUACUCUGAGCUGUCUUAAGUCGUUCCCUAAUAAGUUUCAUAUCUUCCAUCGCCCGGUGAACAAGAUUAGGCCCAACCAUCUGCGUCUCGCCUACUUCGUACCACCCUAUAGGUGACCUACAUCUUCUCUCAUACAAUGCCUCAAAUGGUUCCAUCUUAAUACUGGAAUGGAAGCUGUUAUUAUACGCAAACUCUAUCUGGGGCAAGUGUUUCACCCAACUACCUUUAAAAUCGAUCACACAGGCCCUUAACAUGUCCUCAAGGGUCUAAAUAGUGCGCUCAGCCUGCCCAUCAGUCUGAGGGUGAAAAGCGGUGCUUAGGUUCACUUGGGUACCUAAACCUCUCUGAAAAGAUCUCCAAAACUGAGAAGAAAACUGUGUACCUCGGUCAGAUAUGAUGGACACAGGUGACCCAUGCAAAUGGACUAUUUCUGCAAUGAAUAGCUUAGCAUAAUUCUCCCCCGAAUAGUUAGUCCUGACAGGAAGAAAGUGGGCUGACUUGGUCAGCCUAUCUAUAAUUACCCAUAUAGAAUCAUACUGGUUUCGGGACUUUGGGAUUCCUGUAAUGAAGUCCAUAUUAAUCAUCUCCCACCUCCACAAGGGCAAGGCUAUCUUUUGGGAAGAACCACCUGGCCUCAUAUGCUCUACUUUAACUUGUUAGCAAUUCAAACACUUAGAAACAAAGUUAACCACAUCAUGUUUCAUAUUAUUCCACCAAUACAUAGAUUUCAGAUCAUGGUACAUCUUAUUAGAGCCUGGGUGAACAACAUACCUCGAAGUGUGAGCUUCGUCAAGGAUUCUCUUCCGCAAACCAUCAAUAUCUGGUACAUAAAAUCUACCCUGAUGCCUCAAAAUACCAUCACCACCAAUUUCGAAGGACAUCACCUUCUGUUGACCCACAUCUUUCUUGAUCUGUAUCAAUAUGAGAUCUUUAACCUACUUCUCUUUAACUUCUGCACAAAGGGAAGAUUUAGCUAUCUCAUAAACAACCAUUCCUCUAUCUUCGGAAUCCAAGAGUAGCACUCCUUGAUUUGCAAGCUGGUGAAUAUCCUUUACCAUCUCUCCCUUCUCUUCGUCAAUAUGAGAAAGACUAUCCAUAUACAACCUGCUGAGGGCGUCGGCUACCAUAUUUUCCUUGGCCGGAUGAUAGUGCAGACUCAUGUCGUAAUCCUUUAGCAAUUCCAUCCAGCGCCUCUGCCUGAGGUUCAAUUCUUUCUGCGAGAAAACAUACUGUAAACUCUUAUAUUCAGUGAAUAUAUCAACAUGUACCUCCUAUAAAUAGUUUCGCCAGAUCUUAAGUGCAUAAACCAUAGCCGCUAACUCCAAGUCAUGAGUGGGGUAGUUCCGCUCAUGCACCUUUAACUGAUGAGAUGCAUAAGCUACUACCUUAUCAAGCUUUAUAAGUACAUAAUCAAGUCCCACUCGGGACGCAUCACAAUACACAACAAAACCCUCUGUACCCUCCAAAAGAGUCAAAACAAGAGCAGUAAUCAACCUGUCUUUCAACUUCUCAAAACUAUUCUCACAAGAGUCAGACCACAAAAACUUCACCUUUUUCUGAGUCAACUUAGUAAGUGGUGCAGCUAUGGAAGAAAAACUCUCCACGAACCUUCUGUAAUAACCUGCCAAACCCAAGAAGCUCCAAAUGUCGGUUGAAGUCGUAGGUCUAAGCCAUUUUCUCACUGCCUCAACCCUUUGGGGAUCAACCCGAAUCCCCUCACUAGACACAAUAUGUCCCAACAAAGUGAUAACAUUCAACCAAAAUUCACAGUUGGAGAAUUUCACAUACAACUUAUGAUCUUUGAGAGUCUAAAGAAUAAUUCGGAGGUGAUUGACAUGGUCUUCCUUAUUGUUGGAGUAAAUCAAGAUGUCAUCAAUAAAGACUAUGACAAACAAGUCUAGGAAUUGAUGGAAGACCCUAUUCAUUAGGUCCAUGAAAGCUACAAGAGCGUUAGUCAACCCAAAGGACAUGACUAAGAAUUCAUAAUGACCAUAUUUGGUUCGUAAAGCUAUUUUAGGAAUGUCUAACUGCCUAACUUUCAGCUGAUGAUAUCUCAAAUGAAGAUCUAUUUUAGAAACACACUUAGCACCCUGAAGUUUUUCAAAGGGGUCAUCAAUCCUAGAAAAGGGAUAUUUAUUUUUAAUAGUGACCUUAUUCAACUGACGGUAAUUUAUGCACAUACGUAGGGAACUAUCUUUCUUUCGCACGAAGAGUAUAGGUACACCCCCGAAAGAAAUGCUAGGUCUGAUAAAACCUUUAUCUAGAAGAUCUGCUAGUUGUUCUUUCAACUUCUUUAGCUCUGCAGGAGCCAUUCUAUAUGGUAGGAUAGAAAUAGGACGGGUAUCUGGAAACACAUCAAUGCCAAAAUAUAUCUCCCUAUCAGGUGGAAUUCUUGGGAGAUCAUCUGGAAAACUUCUGGGAAUUCAUUUACUACUGGGACAGACUGAAGAGGAAGACUUUCAACAUUAGAGUCUUUAACCCAAAUAAGACAAUACAAACAACCCUUGGAAAUAAGUUUAUCGGAUCUGAGAUAAGAUAUGAAGUGCCCUCUAGUUGCUAAUGAGUGCCCCUCCCACUCUAUUGCUAGUUCAUUCAGAAAAGAAAAGGUAAUCUUUCGUGUUCUACAAUCUAGUGUGGCAUAACACCGAUGGAGCCAGUCUAUCCCUAGGAUAGCAUCAAAAGCAACCAUAUCAAGUUCUAUGAGGUCUUCCAAAGUAUCUCUACUAAGAAUAGAGACAACAUAAUUUUUAUACACCCUCCCAGCCACAACAGAAUCACCCACCGGAAUGGAAACAGAAAAAGGUUCAGCAAUCACAUCGGGCUCAAACCCAAAACCAACAGCUACAUAUGGGGUCACAUAAGAUAAGGUAUACCAGGGAUCAAUUACCACAUAUACAUCAUGGGAAAAUAUUUGUAACGUAUCGGUGACAACAUCUGGUGAGGCUUCCGCCUCUUGGCGGUUGGUCAAAGCAUAUAACUAGUUACGACCACUCCUGGCAGCUGAUGUAGCGCCCUUCUGAGGCGGUAGAGGUGCAGAAGAUCUUGCCUGUGACUUAAAUCCACCAAUAUUCCUCCUAUCGGAGGGACUGUCUCUCUGGAAAUGACCCAUCUGGCCGCAUGCAUAACAUACCAGCGAGCCCAGCUGACACCUUCUUGGAUGAUGCUUACGGCAAGUCUCACACCAUGGAAAAGUAUGAUACUGUUGAGCCACACUGCCCUGUGACUGAGUAUCCCGAGCUCUGGGUCCAUGACUAGUCUGAAAACUCUGAGAUCGUCUAUCAACUGGGGGUUUGGGCGCUGAGGCGCUAGCUGAAGACUGCGCGUUACUCCAAAACUUCUUCUUUUUCCAUUUACUGCCCCAGUUACCGCUUUGUGGCUGACUGUGGUUCUGAUCUGCUGUUUUGGCUCUCUUUGUCUACCUGUCCUUCUCUCUAUAUUUGGAAAUUUUCUUUUUCUUCUCUUCUACCUGCUGUAUGUGGACUGAAAGCCUAGCAAAGUCUAUAUCCCUAUUUAGCAUCGCCCCUUGACAUUCAAGAUCUAGAUCAUCUAAAGGUCGGAUACAAAUUUCCUUAUCCGAGCCCUCAUAUUACCUGUUAUUUUUGGUGCAUAACGAGCCAGUUGGUUAAACUUCAGAGUGUCCUCUCGGACACUUAUUUUCCCCUAUUUAAGAUUCAUGAACUCUUCUGCCUUGGCUUUCCUCAACUCUAGAGGAAAGAACCGGUCAAGAAAAGCUUCUACAAAUUCGCCCCAAACUGUAGGCUCAACAAUCUCACCCUACGCCUCUUUCCACUCAUUAUACCAUUGGUUCACUACAUCAUUAAGUUGGUACGCUGCUAUGUAAGACCCCAAAAAUUUUUCGUGACGUUAAGGCCUUCGAAGUAAGUCAAGUUGAGUUUAACACUUAGAAAUUUUAUUAAGUAUUCCAACACUUAGUCAUUUUUCUAGCCUUGAAUCUUUGUUGAAUUAAUUUGUGACCUUUCCAAACUUUGUUUCUUGAUACUUUUAUUGCGUUGCGAUGGGGUAAAGUCUUAGUAUGUUCUCGGUGAGAUUCGAAAUUUUUAGAUGAGCCUAAGACCAUGUUUGGGUGUGCAGUCCAGUAGCAACGGGCGAUCUGCACGCGCCACCCACUCUAUCGCGGGGCUAAAGUUCAGGCAAGGUAGGCGCUUAAGCCCGAACCGCCUGGCUUAUCGCGGGUUAUCCAGCAGGCGGCGCCUGGUAGAUUGCACUGCUCUAAUCUAGGCGACGCCUGGCUAAUCGCGCCUGGCCAAUUUUUGCAGUUUCCAUCCGUUUCAUUAAUGGCACUUUGAUAAUUUCCUUUACCCCUCUCUUCUCAAACAUGGAAUUUAAUCCCUCAAACCCUAAAAUAACAUCACUUUCACCCAAUUUGACCAAGAACAAUGCUUAGGGUUUCUACAGAAAAGCCAAGAGAUCUUGUUAUUCAACCGUGACUUUUUAAAGAUUGUUGGAUAUUUGAAAUCCUUGUUCCGAGGGCUACAAGAAACACACAACAAUUUUGUGAAUAGCGUGUCGAAGUAGAGAGUUCACUCCAAGGCUCCAGUCUUGAGGUAUGUGGGGUUUUUCAACAAGAACAUUCUUUCGUUCUUGUGCCCAAAGUUAUUUUCUUUACAAAGAAAUAUGAUUUGAUAUGUUUAACUACGAAUUCGAAUAUAUGAAUUUAUGACUUAUGAUGUUUUCAUGAGAAUGUUGAUACUUUUACCUAUAAAGCUGAAAUUUUGAUUUGUUAGAAAUUAUUUUUAUGGUAUAAAAUAUGAAAUUUUGAAAGGCUAUAUGGUGACAUUGAUAUAUGAGUUUUUGGAACUCUAUUUGAGAUUAUCAUUUUUGUGAAGUUAAGUGCUAUAAACACCUCGAGAUUUGAAUGAAUUGCAUGAUAAAGAAGAUUUGACCUUUAUUUUGGUCAUGAAAGAGUUGAUUCUUGAAACCGAAUGAGAAAAGAAAUCCACACUUUUGAUUGAUUAUGAAAGGGGUAGCAUGAUGGCUCCCGUUAUGAAUUGUUGAACUAUUUGUUGUGGUUUUUUUUUAAAAGAUCUGAGCUAAGUCCGGGAGUAGCCUUUAGCACCGAGCGGGAGGUGUAGUGGUUUGGUACUUCCCUAGAACUACGUGCCCCCGUAGGAUAUGAGCCUGAGGCUGAUAUAGUGAUCACUAGUUUUUGGAUUAAUGAUUAAGGUUCUACUCCGAUGGCAAGGAUAGGACAGCUCUCCCCAACGUGGGUUGUACGUUGGACUCCAUGUAGCUCACAUAGUUUAUGUCGGUUAUGAGAGACUCCCAACGUGUGUGUGUGUACUCUUUUCUCUAAAAUGGAAAUAUAUGAUUUAAAGGAUUGGUUUUGAGAAAGUUAUCAUUUCAGAAUGAUUAAAAAGUUAUGUUAUAAAGAGGAUUGUUUUGAAACUGAUUUCUAUAUAUAUGUUUGGAAACCAGGGAGAAGUGAAUUGAGAAAUUAUUGAAAUGACUCACGUGUUUAGUUUUUACAUAUGAUUUUGAUGAUUUAUCUCAAGCUAAGUGAGUCUUUCAUAUCAGCAUGCAUGUUUUUUAUAAAUCUAUGAUAUUUGUUUUACUGAAAUUUGCAUAAACCCCCAUAUACUCUGUACAUAUUCCAUGGUACCGACCCACAUGUUCGCUAUAUUUUCCCUAUAAUGUAGGUUCAGGUGCUCAUCCCAAGUUUGACAGAUUUUUUGAGCACGUUGAUCUACAUCUUCUGUAGUGAUGAGUCCUCAUGAUCCGAGGACGCAUUAUUUUCAUAAUUUCAUUUUAUUUUGAGUUAUUCAUUUUAUCUUUGAGUUCGAGUCAGUUGGGACUUGUCCCAAUGGCUCAUUGAAACGCUGUUUAGUAGAGGCUUGUCAAGCCAGAUUUUGUCAGAUUGGUCAGAGUUAUCAGAUGUUUGGUAUUUUGUUACUUUCUGCACUUAUUUAGAUUGCAGUAGACAUUGUUGAUGAUAUUUAAAGGUUUUAAGUAUAAUGAUCCCAAAAUAAGCUUGUGAUGGUAUUAUAUGGCUCAAAGGGUUAGCUUGGGGCUACUUGUAGCCUUAAGCACCUGGUGACACUUCGGGACUCAUUUUUGGGGCGUUACAAACUUAGUAUUAGAGCCUAAGGUUUAAGGAGUCCUAACAAGUCUGACAAGCCACGUUAAGUUGAGUCUUGAUCAUCGGUGUGUAGCGCGCCACAUCUAUGAGCAAGAGGCUACGAGACAUUUUAGGAAAAUGGUCAUUUCUUUCCUUCAGAAGUCUAUCGUGCUUACAGUUGUUCUCUUUCAGCUAAUAAUUCGUGUUCUCUUCUUUCAGAAUAUGCCUCUUCGCCGAGCUAGAAGAAAUAACGCUGGUCAGCAACCUCAGCUUGCUGACCCAUUGAAUGAAAAUGUAUCCCAUGCUGAGUUCAAGGCAGCCUUCCAGGCGCUGGCCCAAGCUGUCACCGCCAAUGUUCAGGCCAAUACGGUCCCAGCUCCACAACAGCAGGGAGGUGAUUCAGCUGCUGCAAGGGAAUUCACAACUUUAUGCGGAUAAAUCCGCCAAAGUUUUAUGGUUCCAAGGUAGGUGAGGAUCCACAGUUGUAUUUGGAAGAAGUAAUGAAGAUCACACAGGUGUAGAGUUGGCAUCAUAUCGGUUGAACGACAUUGCCUAUGAUUGGGUCGUUGCGUGGAGGAAGGAUAGAGGAGAAGGUGCCACCCCUAUGAAUUAGCAGGAGUUCUAGGAUGCAUUUUUGGAUAAGUUCUUUCCUUUGGAGAUGAGAGAGGCGAAGGUAGAAGAGUUCAUGAACUUACGGUAGGGCUCUAUGACUGUUAAGAAGUACUGCUUGAAGUUCAAUUAGUUGGCCAAAUACGCUCCUGACUUGAUAGCUGAUAACCGGGUCAAUAUGAGUAAAUUUGUGACAGGGGUGUCGAGCUAUGUUGUUAAGGAGUGCAGGUCUGUCAUGCUUAACCGUGAAAUAGACCUUUCCCGAUUGAUGACACAUGCCCAACAGAUUGAAGCAGACAAGAUCAAGGAAUGGGACAGAAUGAGAGGGAAUAAGAGAGCUAGGUCCGAGCAGCACGAACAUAGCCAGACUAGGACCACCCUCAGUUUCAGAACUGCUUAUCUGCACCAGCACCAUCGUCAGCUAGCGCUCCCGCGCCUAGGGGUAGACAGGAGCAAGGUAAUAGGUCAUAUGUGUUCAGGUCCCAGUACAGUGUUGGCAGUAAACCUAAUUAUCCUCCGUGUCCUAAGUGUGGCAGGACCCAUCCGGGUGAGUGUUGGGUCGAGAAGAAAGGUUGUUUCGAGGGUGGUGACUUGGGUGACAAACUCAAGGAGUGCCCACAUGCCAGGCAAGGGCGACGUGAUAAUCGCCCUCAGACUCUGACUUCUAGUGCUCCAGCUCCGGUAACUCGCCCAGCCCCAACUCAGGGUGCUUCUUCCAGUACUACUGGUAGUCAGCGCCAGAAUAGGUUCUAUGAUUUGCCUUCCUGCCAGGAGCAAGAAAACUCUCCCGAUGUCGUUGUUGACACUCAAUUUUUGCACUCCGUACUUAAAAUUAACGUCUUCAGGCUUCCCGACCGUUAAAGGGCACAAAAUACAAUGUUCACAUAUUUUUUACAAUUAAUAAUAAUUUAUUGAUGUUCAUCCUCACUUUAGAAUUUUAUCAAUUUAUUUUUUAUAUAUUUUACUCUUUCUAGUUUAUUAAUAUUUUUUCUUAUUCUUAUCAAUUUAUUAUUCUACAAACAUUUGCAUACGUGCAUGGCAUCACAUUUUUAUAACUUUUUUUACAUUAGUUACAUUUUUAAUAUUUUUAACAUUCUUUACAUUUUAUCAUAAUUACAAAUCAAUUUCUACAUUUUACGGCCUGCAAAAGUUGGGUUGAAUCAAUUAUUUCAAUAUAAGUACAAUAAUAAUUUGGUGUCUUGUCACAUUAGCACAAAUAAUAUUUGCUGAUAUCCAAUUUUGUCAUCCUUUUCCAUUAAUUCAUUUUUUUUGAGCUUCUAAAUUAAUAGUAAGUUAAAUAUUUUAUAUUUCACUACUAUUUUAAUUUAUUACUAUUUCUUUCACUGUUCUUAUUUAUAUAAUAUUAUUAUUACUAAUUUUAAGAUACUAAUGUGUUAUCAAUAAUACUAUUAUUAUUUUAUUUUAUUUUAUUUUAAAAUCUACCGUUGUUAUUUUUAAGUUUCAUAUUUAUUAAAGUAGUCAUAUAUAUAUAUAUAUAUAAUUUUUUGUAUUUUUUUAAUUAUCAUUAUUUAAUAUAUAUUAAGCUAGCUAUUAAAUUAGAAGCUCAAAAGAAUUAAUUUAAAAUGGGAAAAAACCUAAAUAAUGAAACCAUUUUUUUUAUCAAAAUUAGCCAAUUCAAAAAAAAAAAAGCAGAGCCCAUGUUCCGUUUAUUUUAACAACCCAAUUAAGUCUUUCUCCAUUAACAUGAAUAUGACUUACGUAAACAAUCCAUUGUCAUCUUAAUGUGACUUUUCUUAACUUUUCUUUCAAACAUUUUAAAAAUAAAAGCACAAGUCUUCUUUUCUUUAUGUCAUGUCAAACAAAGUAGGUAUUUAUUAAAUGCUCCAUAUUUCAAAAGCAAUCAGGGAAAAUCUUCAUUUUUAAUACGGAAAAGUGUCUGAAAUGCUAACUAAUUAUUUAAAAUGGUGUAAAAAUAUUCUCUAUUUAUUUAUUGGACCUAAAAUAUCUUUCAACUAUCUAAUAUGGUGCAAAAAUGUCCUCUCCGUCUACCUAUAGGGCCUAGUUUGCCUUUUUAUUUAACAUAUUAAGUUAUUGAAUGACAUUUUAGGCCUAAUAGGUAGAUGAAAGUCAUUUUUGCACCAUUUUAAAUAAUUGAAAGAUAUUUCAGACCAUUUUUCGUAUAUACUAUAUAAAUUUUUUAUAAAAAUUUAAUAAAAAUAAAUAAAAAUAAAAAUUAAAUUUAAAAAGCAACAACGUCACAUUAUAAAAAAAUAAUUUUUAUUUAGUUUUUAAAAAAGCGACGUUGUUCGUCGCUUUUUGUAAAAAUAAAAAAAAAUAAAAAUAAUUACAAAUUGCGAUGGAUAGCGUUGCUUUUCUAAAAAUACCUUAUUAAAAUUACGACGCUGUCAGUCGCAUUUAUUAAAAAAAUUUAUAAACACCCUUUCAUCCAUAAUUAGUUUAAAAAUAGCGUUGUAAUUUAUUUACAAAUAAUAAUAAUUAUUUUUUGAAAAGCCACUUAAUCCGUCUAUUUUUAAAUUUGACUUUUAUUUUUGCUUAUUUUUAUUAAAGGCGACGGACAACGUCGCUAUAAUUUUUAUUUUUUAAAAUAUUAAUUCUAAAAAGCGACACUGUCUGUCGCAAUUUGUAAUUAAUUUUAUUUUUUUAAAAAUCAAAUAAUUUUUUUAUUUUAUUAAAUUUUUAUAAAAAUUUUAUAUAGUAUAUAUGAAAAAGAACCUAAAAUUUGCUUUAACAAUCUAAAAUACCCUUCAUAAUGCUCUUUAAUGACUUAAUCUGUUAAAUAAAAGGACAAAUUAGACCCUAUAGAUAGAUGGAGAGGAUAUUUUUACAUUAUUUUAAAUAGUUGAAGGACAUUUUGAAGAAUAUUUUUACUCAUUUUAAAUAGUUAAAGGACAUUUCAGGUCUUUUUUCAUUUUUAAUAUUUUGUCAUCUUUUGGCAUAAUGAUUUUCAAAUGUAUACAUUUAUAUUUUUCUUCACAACCACCUUUAUUUUUGAUAUUUUUUUCUUUCACAAAAUAAAUAGCCACGGUAUCAUCCAUUUCAAAGGAGAACAAGAUACAGUUCACAGACCUCCAUUUUUAUUCCAUUUUUUUUUUUACCAUCAACAACAUGCAUACGCAGUGAAUACAACUUGCACACACAGAGAUCAUAUUUCUUUUUCUUUCCUUCACUCAACACAUACUUCCUUUUUGGGAUAUACACAAAAAACAGGCACGACUAUAUUUUUUUAUUCCCUCUCUCCGCUAACCCGCCGGAGAACUCACCACUGGCGAACCCAUUGCCGGCCUCCUUUCUCCGAUCUCCAAGCAUCGAACUUCCAGCCAUCGCCACCGUAAAACCACCAGCUACACCAACAAAAUCAGCCGCCAUCAACCACCCACGUCCAGAUCUGCCUCCACCAGAUCCGACGAACCACCAGCGGCGAAGAAACGCCAACAACCCGCCGAUCUCCAACACCACACCACCAACGCACUACCAUCGUCACUGCUUUACCAUACAUGGCCAGACUUGGGCAAUAUUUCGUUUCUCCGGCGUUGCUCCGGUGAACACCACCGAAGCAACGCCAUUAACAGCUUUCUGUGGUCUCCGAUCUUGAGGCUUUGAAUUUUUGGACAAACUCCCUUUGGAGCAUUUGUUUACAUGUUUCCACAUCUCUCCAAUAAUUUGGUUUGUUGAAUCCUUGCUUGUUGUGGCUGAUUUGUUUAUUUUGGGAUCACUUUUGAUUUUUGACUCCAUUAUUGUGUUUUGCACGUUUGAGACAGGUUUUGGUGGAACUUUAUCUCCAUUACUCAUGUUUGGAUAUGUGACUGAUAAAUAGAUAUUACACAUACAUGGGGAAUGAAAAAAUUAUUAUUAAUUUUGAGGCCUCUGUAAAUAAAAGAUAGAUUGAUUAUUACGUAUACGUAAUAAAAUAAAUAUUUUGGACGAUGAUGAAAUCUUAUAACAACACAAGAUUUUACAAUUCAUAUUUUGGCAAGACGAUUUAGGACGAUCAAUUAAUUGAGCAACCAUUUUGUAGCAAAAUGAGUUAGGACGGUCAAUUAAUUAAGCAAUUAUUUCGCGGCUAUGAUUUUAUGAGUCCACUUUUUAACAAAAAAUAUAUUUUUAAAUACUUAUAUGCACAUAUAUUUGUUAAAUUUAUUUUGAUUAUUUUUACAAAUAUUUAUACAGGUUAUUUUGGAAUACUCAUCGGGAGUUGCAGUCAAAAGAGUCCUUAAAUUUGAUAUUGUAUUUUAUAUUUCUACACUUGUACAAAUAACAAAAAUAGUGAAACUUUAUUUUUGGGUGUUGGGUGAGAUUUUCUUUAUUUAUACAAUUUCAUCUCGCGUUUAUGUAAACUUAGAGCGUUAAUAUUUACACU